rnacentral:lncRNA from 1 species
CCUGGUUUUGCCACUAAUUUGAGUAUAGAGUUCUGUUUGCGGUCGCCCGUGUACUUAUCAUCACCGUCCUCUUCAAAGUUCAUCAGCAUCGUCUUUGAGUAGGUUAGGAAAAGGAAAUUUCACCCGUGUCUCGGCAACAUGUGAUGCCUCUAACAGUCUCUUAGAAUAGCCCGCCCAGCCAUGUCCUGUCGCUGUGGGCAGCGUUGUAAAAUGCCCCCGUUCAUGUAACUGGAGCAGAGUCACCCUUUUGUCGUCAGUGUGCCGUUAUAUUGAUUGAGUUGAAGAUGCUUGAAUUUUGUGCUGCUCAUCCGGUUUUUGCUUCAACUUUCUUACUUGUUGGAAACGAUUGUUUUGGCAAUGCUUCACGAUGUAUUGAUCGGUGCAAAGUGCACGUAUAUAUGGAGUACAAAGUGGGCCACAACCUCAACUAUACAAAGACUAGGAGGUGGGCCAUACUAUACAAUAUANNNNNNNNNNNNNNNNNNNNNNNNNNNNNNNNNNNNNNNNNNNNNNNNNNNNNNNNNNNNNNNNNNNNNNNNNNNNNNNNNNNNNNNNNNNNNNNNNNNNNNNNNNNNNNNNNNNNNNNNNNNNNNNNNNNNNNNNNNNNNNNNNNNNNNNNNNNNNNNNNNNNNNNNNNNNNNNNNNNNNNNNNNNNNNNNNNNNNNNNNNNNNNNNNNNNNNNNNNNNNNNNNNNNNNNNNNNNNNNNNNNNNNNNNNNNNNNNNNNNNNNNNNNNNNNNNNNNNNNNNNNNNNNNNNNNNNNNNNNNNNNNNNNNNNNNNNNNNNNNNNNNNNNNNNNNNNNNNNNNNNNNNNNNNNNNNNNNNNNNNNNNNNNNNNNNNNNNNNNNNNNNNNNNNNNNNNNNNNNNNNNNNNNNNNNNNNNNNNNNNUAGGCAGUCCUUUCGUCAUGACGUCGGCGAACUGCUGCGCCGUCGGGACGUGGAGGACCCGGAUGCGCCCAAGGGCCACCUGCUCACGAACGAAGUGUAUAUCGAGCUCAAUAUGCUUCGUUCGACGAUGAUGGACCGGGUUGGCGAAGAGGUAAACGGCGGAGACGUUGUCGCAGUAGACGAGCGUAGCCUUGUGAACAUCACAAAGCAACUCCUGGUGCAGCUGACGGAGCCAAAAGCAUUCAGCAACGACGUUAGCCACUGCUCGAUACUCAGCCUCGGCACUCGAGCGGGAGACGGUGGGCUGUCGCUUGGAAGACCAAGAGAUCAGGGACGGCCCAAGGUAGACACAGUACCCCGAGGUGGAGCGCCGUGUGUCCGGGCAGCCAGCCCAGUCCGCAUCAGAGUAGGCGACGAGGUCGGUGGAGGCGGAGGCCGUCAACGUAAGUCCCAAGGACUGGGUGCCGCGUAUGUAUCGAAGGAUACGCUUCACCAGAGUCCAGUGAGAGUCGCGCGGAGCAUGCAUGUGAAGACAGACCUGCUGAACGGCAUAUUGCAAGUCGGGGCGCGUCAGGGUCAGGUACUGCAGGGCGCCCACAAUGGAGCGGUAGAAGACCGCAUCAGAUGCAGGUGAACCCUCCAAAGCGGAGACCUUGGCCUUGGUGUCGACUGGCGUGGGAGCGGGCUUGCAGUUAAGCAUGCCAGCUCGGUCGAGAAGCUCAUGGGCAUAGCGCUGCUGAUGCAGGAAGAACCCAUCUGGCCGUCGAACCACCUCAAUGCCAAGGAAAUAAUGCAGAGGACCCAAGUCCUUCAGGGCAAACUCAUCACGAAGACGAGCAGUAAGCCGCUGGAGGAGCAGGACAGUGGAUGCCGUCAGAAUGAUGUCGUCGACGUACAACAGCAAGUAGGCCGUGUCAACUCCGUGAUGAUACACGAAGAGGGACGCAUCGGAGCGAGUCGAUGUAAAUCCGAGCGUCUGCAGGAAGGCGGCGAUGCGCUGGUACCAGGCUCGAGGUGCCUGCUUCAACCUGUAGAGCGAACGGGAGAGCAAGCACACAUGAUCUGGAUGCGUGGCGUCGACGAAGCCGGUGGGCUGCUCACAGAACACCUGCUCAGCCAGGUGGGCGUGCAAGAAGGCAUUGGACACAUCCAACUGAUGCACAGGCCAUGCUCGGGACACGGCUAGCUGGAGCACGGCGCGGAUCGUGCCCGGUUUAACAACCGGGGCAAAUGUGUCGGUGAAGUCCACGCCAGCGCGCUGCCGAAAACCCCGAACCACCCAGCGAGCUUUAUAGCGCUCGAGAGUGCCAUCCGGAUGAGUCUUGUGCCGAAAGACCCACUUGCCCGUGAUGAUGUUGGCACGGGGUGGACGGGGAACGAGUUGCCAGGUACGGUUCCGCUGGAGCGCAUCGAACUCUUCCUGUAUCGCAGCGAGCCAAUGAGGAUCCCGAAGGGCGGCUCGAGCGGACGAUGGGAGAGGAGACGGCUCAGAGGUGGAAGCAGCGAGAAGAUACUCAUCGCUGGGGUACCGCGUGCUCGGGCGAAGGGUGCCAGCCCGAGUGAAAGAACAUGCGGUGCCCCCAUGUUUGGUUUUGGUAAUUGAUGACAAUCUCUAUGGACUAAUGGUUGUCUUGAGUUAUAUUUGAAGGAUUUGUCCAUAGGAUUUUCUUGAAGUUCAUGUGUUGGUUUCAAGGAGUUUAUGAGUUGACCAAGGUGCUAUUAAGGAAUUAUCCAAAGAUUGGUCAUGCGAGUGUUGAGCUUAUUGCAAGCAUGUCUUGAAGAAGAAGGUUGUGUGAUCAUUCAUGUUUACCUUCAAUACAUCAUCCAAAUGAAGAGAGUUGCAAAGAUUUAAGGUUGAUCAAGACUAAGUCAAUAGUGAAUCAAGUUGAUCAACUCACAAAGCGUAGAAGAUGUACCGAGAGGGAUCAAGUGAUCCCAUGGUAUGGUAAGCAUUGUCCAUUGCACUUUGUGUACUAACCCAUGGUCUAUGUGAGAGUUCUAUGUGGGGUUAGGUACGUAUCCAUGGGCUUGCAUCAAGAGGAAGAUAUCAUACAACCCAUGGAAAGGAUGACAUCAAGUGGUGAUCGUCAUCAAGAUUGUCGUGUGCAAGUUCAAGUGGAGCAUCACGAAGAGAUCAAAUGCUUGAAUCUUGCCAUCCAUUGUGGUGUCAAUGGACUUGUGAAGAUGAGCCGAAGAGUGGCUCACCCAUAGUAGACUAUGGGGGAGCAAUCAUCUAGUCUUCAUCGAGCCAACGCAAUCAAGAAAGGUGGUCCAUCUUGAGGGAGUCAAGAUCGUCAUCAUCUAGCUCAAGUGGACCAUGUGCAAGGCAAAGGUUUGCCCUUGAUAGGUUUUCUAUUUUACCAGUCUCAUGGUGGUAGUAGGGAGACCGGGUUAUAUGAUCGUUUGCCGUACUAUCAAGGGGGGCUCUCAAGUUGGUAGCUUGAUCGUAUCGUUAAUAGAGAGCUCAAACCCUUGCAUCCUUGCAUCAUGUUUCUUGGUUCUUGUUUGGUUCUCUUUGUGAGUCUUAGAGCUUAUGGUCAUCUUGAUGACAAGCUUGAGUUCAUCGAAAACGGAGUUCACAUGCGUCUUCUAUGAUGUUUUCGGUGUUGGAGGUUUUACCGGUCUUUUCCGAGGAAGGGUUCUCACCAUUUUCCUUUGGGACUUUUAUCAUUUGCUUAUUCUUGAUAUUUCUAUCAAGAUUGUGUUAGCCCAUGUCGUUAGCUUUCCAAUAAACUUGGUUUCGUUGAAUUCGGAGUCCGUUUGCAAAAGUUGUGGCUGUUUUGGUAAAGGCUGCAGCGGUACUACCGCGACUAGAGCGGAUGUAAUUUUUUACUACCGCUCCAGAGCAGUACUACCGCGGCUCCUGAGCGGUAGUACCGCCCCAGAGCAGUACUACCGCGGCUCUUAAGCGGUAGUACCACUCCGGACCAAAAUCUCGUGUUUUGCUCAGCGGAAGUAGGCACAGAAGUAUUUUUUUUAGUACCGCUCGCAAGCAGUAGUACCGCUACCAUUUGUGGUAGUACCGUGAGGUCGAGCGGUAGUACCGUGAGGACAAGCGGUACUACCGCUCCGAAGGUUCUUUUGGCCUUUUUGCCUCCUCGCUGUUGUGUUUCGAAGGGGUACUACCGUCCUAGCGGUAGUACCGCUCCUUGGAGCGGUAGUACCGCUCUGUGCGGGCUGUGAGCAUAACGGUUGGAUUCGGGAGCUCCUAUAAAAGGGGGUCUUCUUCCCGAUUCAACUUUAUCCUUUGAGCUCAUGUUCUUUCCCCAUUGUUGACCUUCUUCGAGCUUGCUAACUCUCAAUCCCUCCAUGGAUUCUUGCUAGUUUUUGAGGGAAAAGAGAGAGGAGAUCUAGAUCCACAUUUCCACCAAUCACUUUCUCCUCUAUGUGAGGGGAACCCCUUGGAUCUAGUUCUUGGAGUUCUUGGUGUUCUCCUUGUUCUUCCUCUCAUUUUCCUCCCUAGCAUUAGUUGCUUCGGUGGGAUUUGAGAGAGAAGGACUUGGGCACUUCGUGUGCCCUUGCCAUUGCAUUUGGUGCAUCGGUUUGAGUUCUCCACGGUGAUACGUGGAAGUUACAAGUUGAGAAGCUUAUUACUCUUGGGUGCUUGGUGCCCUUGAGCUUGUUCCUCUUGGGUGCUUGGGUGCCCUAGACGGUUGGUGGUGUUCGGAGCUCAAUCAUUGUGGUGUAAAGCUCCGGGCAAGCGUCGGGGUCUCCAAUUAGGUUGUGGAGAUCGCCCCGAGCAAUUUGACGGGUACCGGUGACCGCCCCCAAGGGUUGCCAAAGUGUACGGGUUCGGUGACCGCCCCCAAGGGUCGCCAUUUGUACGGGUUCGGUGACCGCCCUCAAGGUUCCCUUAGUGGAAUCACGGCAUCUUGCAUUGUGCGAGGGCGUGAGGAGAUUACGGUGGCCCUAGUGGCUUCUUGGUUAGCAUUGUGCCUCCACACCCCUCCAAACAGAGAUUAGCAUCCGCAAGGGUGUGAACUUCGGGAUACAUCAUCGUCUCCGCGUGCCUCGGUUAUCUCUUACCCGAGCCCCUUUACUUAUGCACUUUACUUUGUGAUAGCCAUAUUGUUCUUUGUCAUAUAUCUUGCUAUCACAUAGUUGCUUAUCUUGCUUAGCAUAAGUUGUUGGUGCACAUAGGUGAGCCUAGUUGUUGUAGGUUUUGUGCUUGACAAAUUAACCACUAGGUUUAUUCCACAUUUGUUCAAGCCUAAAUCGUAAUUAUUUUAAAGCGCCUAUUCACCCCCCCUCUAGGCGACAUCCUCGAUCUUUCAAUUGGUAUCAGAGCCUCGUCUCUCUUUAUUAGGCUUUACCGCCUAGAGAGUAAAGAUGUCGACUAGGGGAUUAGGAUUCUCUGACACUCUUAGUUUCGAUGGCACAAAUUUUGAUGUUUGGGUAAUUCGCAUGCUUAAUCUCUUUAGGGUCAUGGACCCAAAUUUAGAGCGAAUUGUAGAUAUGGGUUUUUCUCCUCCAAAGGAUCCCCAAAGAUUAUCUUUAGAGGAUGAGAAAAACUCUUAUCUCAAUGCUCAAUCUUCUAAUGUGCUUUUCGAUGCUUUGAGCAAUGUAGUUAUAUUUCAACUCAUGCCGUUCCGAGAUGCUCAUGAGUUGUAGACGAAGCUUCAAGAUAAAUAUGGUGUGUCCAAGAUUUGUGGGGAUGAUUGUUCUCCCUCCACCUCCGGUCGUAUAGUCUUCUCAACUUCUUCUACUUCACCUACAUGUGGUUUUCCACAAGGUAAUGACAUGGUGAGUAGUGUUGGUCAUUGCAAUGAUGAUAGUAUGCUUAUUGUGGAUGAUCCUUCAUCACUAUAUUAUUGCAAUGCUCCUUCUUUGGGCUUUAACACUUCGAGCACUCCAAAUAUUUCACAUGCUUGUGUUGAUAGUCCUUUCAUAUCAUGUAGAAAUUGCUUGACUAAAUCUCAUGAUGAUAUGCUUGCUAUGUCUUGUUGCCAUGAUAAAAAUGCAUCUAUUUCCUUGAAUUGUUGUGCUAACAAUGUAGUGGAAAUCGAACACUCCAUGGAACAAGAUGUGGUGUUUAAUGGUGCCUCAAGGGAUCCUACAUCAUCAUCUAUUGCUUUUUGCCUUAUGGCUAAGGUGUCAAAGGUAUGUCCUACUUUGUACCCCAAUAUGUCUCUUGAUGAUGAUGUUGAUGCUAAUAAUGAUGAGGAUAAUGAUGAAGAGAAUGAUAAUGUUGCCUCCUUAAAAACUAAGGGGGAAAUGAUUUUUAAAGCUCUUCAUAAAAAUAAAAUUGCUCGUUCCAACUUCAUGGAAAUAAUGUCCAUUGCCAUUGAUGGCAAGAAAUACAUUGAGGAGUUGGAAUCUCAUCUAGAGGAGCAUGAGGCCACCAUUGAUAAAAUGGAAGGUCAUGGGCGUGAUUACGCUAAUGAGAUUGCGGACCUCUCUCAAGCUCUUGAACUUGAACAAACCACCAAGGAAUCUCUUGAGGAGACUUUUGCUCUAGAAUUGUCUAAAGUGAAGGAAUCUACUGAUAGAGCUCUUAAGGUGGCCAAUGUUUUUGAAACCAAAAAUGCUAAGCUUGAAGUUGCUCAUGCUAGACUCCUUGAGGAUUUUGAGCACCUCGAAAAUGGCUCAAGGGUCAUCAAGGGUGAGCUCAUCAAACUCACCGAGUCUCAUGCUCAACUUGAAGCUUCUUAUUUAAAAGAGCUUGCCAAAUUGCCUUCUCCUCUUGUUGUUAAUGAUGAUGCUUGUGCUACUAAUUCUAUUACUUGUGAAGCAUCCAUUUUGAAGGAGAAUGUUGAGCUACGGGCUCAACUUGAGGUGCUAUCUUGCAAUUAUGGGAAAUUGGAAGAAAGUCAUGAAAAGAUCUCAAGCUCUCAUGAUGAUCUUCUAGUAUCCCAUAGUGUGCUAAAGAUAGCUCAUGAGGCCAUGAUUGCUAAGGUAACAUCUAGUGAGCCUCAUGUGGAUACUAGCACUACUUCUAGUCAAAAUAGUAUAUUGCCAUGUGCUAGUCCUUGUAAUUCAUCUACUCACAAUGUUGGUACAUCUUGUGAUGAAUUGCUUUCCUUGCCUUGUUGCUCUAACGAUGAAGCUUAUACUUCCUCUAGUACUUGUGUUGAGACUAACCAUGUAGAGGAAAUCAAAGAGCUCAAGGCCCAAGUCACUUCUUUGAAGAAAGACUUGGAAAAGUGUCAUGAAGGGAAGGCCACACUCAACAAUAUCUUGAGUGUGCAAAAAUCCCCCAAUGACAAAGGUGGACUUGGAUUCAACUCCAACAAGAAGAAGAAGUCCAAGUUGAACAAGAAGAAGAGCCAAGAACAAGUCAAGAAUUCGGCCAAGAUUAUUUGCUUCAAGUGCAAAGUUGAAGGGCAUCAUGUUAGAUCGUGCCCAUUGAAGAAGAAGGCCAUUAGUGUCAAGCAACAAGGGAAGAGGGAACACGUUCAAUCUCAUGCUCAACAUCAAGUUGAAGAAAGGCCUCUUCCCAAGAAGACUCAAGUUAAUGCUUCUCAAAUUGAGAAAUCAAGUGAGAAGAAAGUGAAGAGUAGACGUUGCUACUUAUGUCGUGAGAAAGGUCACGUCGCUUCUUCAUGCACUAGUGGUAACUUAUCCAACCCAAUUAUUAUUGAUGAUAUCUAUUCUCUUGGUAAGGAUAAGGUUGGCAAUGUGUUUGCCAAGUUUGUUGGUACUCAAAGUGGUGUCAAGCAAAGAACCAUUUGGGUAGCCAAACCUAUUGUGACUAACCUCUUAGGACCCAACUUGGUUGGGGACCAACAAGAUCAAACUUGAUCAAUAGGUGUUGUUGGAGGGCAUUGGAGACUUGGCUACAUUAUGAAGAAUUAAGGGGACUUCAUCAUUCUCAUUGUCUCAAGCCAAGUCAAUUGGAUUAUCAAGUUUCUAUCUUAUAUCCACUGUGCCUCCUUGCGGUAACUUGUACUUAAAUUGUUUACCUUGAAAGUUACUUGCCCCCUUGCAUGUUUUGGUUUUGUUCCUUGCAUGUGUUUGUAUAUGUUGCGCUUCCAACUUGCUUAUCUUGAGCAAUCAAGUAUGUGUGUGUUGGUUUGCACAUCAUGUACGUGUGCGUCGUGCGUUGAGCCUUUUUGCUUCCUGUUUGUAUCCUAGUUGGCUCGUGUGAGAUAUCAAUGGAACAUCCCAUUUUGGGGGAGUGAUGUGCUUUGUGCACCUCACAAUCCUAUAAAUGUGUGUACAUGAGGAAUACCAUCUAGUAUUGAUAUUACAAGAUUAUCUAGUCGCUAGGUGCUAUAUCUCUCAUGAGAAAUUCAAAUUCUAAAAAUUCCAUUGAUUAUCUCGUGUUGGAUCCUCUUAUUGCCUCUUGUUUAGUUCUUAUUGGUAUCACAUUAUGGGGGAGUAAUAUGCUAAGUGCAUAUUACAAGCCUAGAAAAUAUGUACAUUUGAGAUAUUGUCACCUAGAAUUGAUAUUGUAAAUUAUCUUGUUCCUAGGUGGCAUGUUAGCUCUACAAGUUGCAAUUUUCUUGUGUGUGGUGUGAAGAUGAUGUUGGAUAUCCUUGCUAUCUACCACCGGGAAUUCUUUCCAUCUAUUUCUUGUCUUUUGACAAUCGGUAGUCACUUAUGUGUGGUAGAAUUUAAUUGAUCAUCUUUACAUUGGCUUUUGUUUAUUUACCUUUUUUCUCUUGCCAAGGUUUGUGUUAACUCCCAUUGUCUUCCAUACCACUUGUGGAUCUUGUUUAUUUCUUGUUCUUGUCUAGUGUUUUCUAGAUAUAGUGAAAGCAGUGAUCCCACCUUGUGCAUUUUGUAUUCAAAUACAAAUCCUAUAUAAUGCACAACUCGUGGGGGAGCUAUUCUAUUUUCUUCACUCUUCUUGUGAUCCUUAUCAAGUGUGUUUUGGUGGAAGGCAAGCCAUUUCUUUUUGGUACUUUGUGCCAUCAUGAAACUUUGUUGAGAGCUUGGUAUGUUUGGAACCAUUCUCUCUUUGGGAGUUUGACAUCUUUAGUUUAGUGUGUAUCAAUGGAUAUCUCAUUCCUUGAUGUAUCUUUAAUGAUAUCUUCCAAGUAAUGAUUUCUCCAUUUGGUAUCCUUUUCACUUGGCGUUUAUUUGUCUUUUGGUUUCGGGUUUUGAAAGUCUUGAGCAUGCAUGUUUACUUCAUGUAUUUCAUUUGGCAUGCUUUCUUUCUUUGACUCAAUAUAUAUGGGAAACUCCACCUAGUCUCAAUUUGGAUGAGAUGUGCAUGAAAUUCAUUUUCAUAUCUAUAUGCACAUAUUUAUGUGGAGUUUGUCCUAUGUAUUGGUGUUUCUAACUAUUUGGUCCCGAUGAGUUUGGGUACCGUUUAGUUUGUGUUGUUCUUCUAGGAACAUUUGGAGAUGCAUUGGAUGCUCGGCUCACUCACAAGGAAGGUGUUGUCACCAUGUGCAUAUUGGAGUCAAGCUAGGAUGAUCAAUGAACUACUAUCUACCUUCAAUUGGUAUCUACUACAUCCUUCCAAUGAUAUCUCGGUAACAAGUAUCUAUUCAUGCUUUCUCCUCUUGCAUUCAACCUUGUGUAGGUUGCAUCUUGGCAUGAUUUUCAUUUCAUAUCUUGUUAUACUUGUUUCCUUUCUCAAAGCAUCCCAACGAUGAUCUCUUGUUGCUAGUUGUGAUGCCCUUGAUGGAUGUGUGUUUGGACUUCAUUUAUAUACAAUAAGACCAUAUCUAGCCAAGUGCUAUGCUUUCAAGCAAAUAUCUUAUUGGUAUAUUUAUGACUUCCUUGUGGAUAUCUUGUUCCUUCGUGUUGUAACUAUUUCGGGUGUACAUUCUUCUUUGUAUAUAUAUAUAUCAUCAUGAUUUCGUCUACAUAGAACCUUAUACACUUGAGAGAAAUUACAUCUCUAGUUGAUAUCCUUUCUUUCACGUCCACCUUGUCUUUCUUAUGUUAUUUCUUUUGUGGCUCCGUGAAAGCUUUUGCCUUGAGUGCGUGUCCUCUAUCGUUGCAUCUUGAUGCACUCUUGUGUGGUGAAGAUUAUUUUCCUCAUGCUUAUCGUUACGAGGCUUUUGCCAUCUUAAUUGGCAUGCCUCGUCUUGAUGAGGCUUUCAUCUUCUAUCUUCACCACGGGUUGUCACAAGCAUAAGUUAUUUAUAUGCUUAUUAGUAAGCUUAUGAACCCAUUUGCUGGUUGUGUGUGGGAAUGACAGGCCUUGCACCGUGUGCCUCAUUCUUUCAAGACUAUGUUGAUGCUUAAUACUCAUCCUAAUUUUAGUCUUCUCAAGUGCUUCGCCAUGACUCACACACAUCAUUUUGGUUGAGCCCAUUCUUAAGUUGCCUCUUUUACUUGUUGCUCAACCAUGUGUUUGUUGCAAGUACUAGGCUUUGUUUCCUAUAUGCUCACUUGCACUUGUUGUAAGUUUCUAUUGAUUUUGGGGGAGCUAUGAUCCUAUUUUGUGCACUUUCUAUCCAAUUACAAAACCUUCUUUUUUGUGCACAAAUCAUGGGGAGCUUCUCUAGUUUCUUUAGAACACUCCUCGUCUCAUAUCAUAAUAUCCUUCAUUCAUGUGGCUCAUAGGAUCUUUGGUCUAGUUGGUUCAAUUGAUAUCCUUUGAUUGCUUGCUUCAAUUGGUAUCUUUUGAUUGCUUGAUUGCUUGUUUCUCUCUUUGUUAUGUCUUUGUGGCAUAUCAUUCUUUUGCAAUCUUUGGGCCUCAAUAUAGUUUGUGUUCCUCCAAGUAUUAACCGUUGGAUAUGUGUAUUGCAUUCCACUCUCUUGUUGAAAAAUACACAAUUUAUGGAGGACCACAAUUUAUAUUGGUCUUCUUAGCUUUUCGCCCAUUUUGGCAAUCGAUGCCAAUGGGGGAGAAGUUUCAGAGAGUUUUGCGGAGAAGUUUAGAGAGUUAUCUCCUCUUGCUUUGGUUUUGUUCCUUAGCAUUUGCAUCUCAUACGCAUGCACUAUUGGUUGUUGUAUUGCAUAGUGAAGCAUAAUUCCUUAUAUAAACUCUCUUGAAAGUGAUUUUCAUCAAUUACCAAAAUGGGGGAGAUUGAAAGAACAUGCGGUGCCCCCAUGUUUGGUUUUGGUAAUUGAUGACAAUCUCUAUGGACUAAUGGUUGUCUUGAGUUAUAUUUGAAGGAUUUGUCCAUAGGAUUUUCUUGAAGUCCAUGUGUUGGUUUCAAGGAGAUUAUGAGUUGACCAAGGUGCUAUUAAGGAAUUAUCCAAAGAUUGGUCAUGCGAGUGUUGAGCUUAUUGCAAGCAUGUCUUGAAGAAGAAUGUUGUGUGAUCAUUCAUGUUUACCUUCAAUACAUCAUCCAAAUGAAGAGAGUUGCAAAGAUUUAAGGUUGAUCAAGACUAAGUCAAUAGUGAAUCAAGUUGAUCAACUCACAAAGCGUAGAAGAUGUACCGAGAGGGAUCAAGUGAUCCCAUGGUAUGGUAAGCAUUGUCCAUUGCACUUUGUGUACUAACCCAUGGUCUAUGUGAGAGUUCUAUGUGGGGUUAGGUACGUAUCCAUGGGCUUGCAUCAAAAGGAAGAUAUCAUACAACCCAUGGAAAGGAUGACAUCAAGUGGUGAUCGUCAUCAAGAUUGCCGUGUGCAAGUUCAAGUGGAGCAUCACGAAGAGAUCAAGUGCUUGAAUCUUGCCAUCCAUUGUGGUGUCAAUGGACUUGUGAAGAUGAGCUGAAGAGUGGCUCACCCAUAGUGGACUAUGGGGGAGCAAUCAUCUAGUCUUCAUCGAGCCAACACAAUCAAGAAAGGUGGUCCAUCUUGAGGGAGUCAAGAUCGUCAUCAUCUAUCUCAAGUGGACCAUGUGCAAGGCAAAGGUUUUCCCUUGAUAUGUUUUCUAUUUUACCGGUCUCAUGGUGGUAGUAGGGAGACCGGGUUAUAUGAUCAUUUGCCGUACUAUCAAGGGGGGCUCUCAAGUUGGUAGCUUGAUUGUAUCGUUAGUAGAGAGAUCAAACCCUUGCAUCCUUGCAUCAUGUUUCUUGGUUCUUCUUUGGUUCUCUUUGUGAGUCUUAGAGCUUAUGGUCAUCUUGAUGACAAGCUUGAGUUCAUCGAAAACGGAGUUCACAUGCGUCUUCUAUGAUGUUUUCGGUGUUGGAGGUUUUACCGGUCUUUUCCGAGGAAGGGUUCUCACCAUUUUACUUUGGGACUUUUCUCAUUUGCUUAUUCUUGAUAUUUCUAUCAAGAUUGUGUUAGCCCAUGUCGUUAGCUUUCCAACAAACUUGGUUUCGUUGAAUUCGGAGUCCGUUUGCAAAAGUUGUGGCUGUUUUGGUAAAGGCUGCAGCGGUACUACCGCGACUAGAGCGGAUGUAAUUUUUUACUACCGCUCCAGAGCAGUACUACCGCGGUUCCUGAGCGGUAGUACCGCUCCAGAGCAGUACUACCGCGGCUCCUAAGCGGUAGUACCGCUCCGGACCAAAAUCUCAUGUUUUGCUCAGCGGAAGUAGGCACAGAAGUAUUUUUUUAGUACCGCUCGCAAGCAGUAGUACCGCUACCAUUUGCGGUAGUACCAUGAGGUCAAGCGGUAGUGCCGUGAGGACGAGCGGUACUACCGCUUCGAAGGUUCUUUUGGCCUUUUUGCCUCCUCGCUGUUGUGUUUCGAAGGGGUACUACCGCCCUAGCGGUAGUACCGCUCCUUGGAGCGGUAGUACCGCUCUGUGCGGGCUGUGAGCAUAACGGUUGGAUUCGGGAGCUCCUAUAAAAGGGGGUCUUCUUCCCGAUUCAACCUUAUCCUCUGAGCUCGUGUUCUUCCCCCAUUGUUGACCUUGUUCGAGCUUGCUAACUCUCAAUACCUCCAUGGAUUCUUGCUAGUUUUUGAGGGAAAAGAGAGAAGAGAUCUAGAUCCACAUUUCCACCAAUCACUUUCUCCUCUAUGUGAGGGGAACCCCUUGGAUCUAGUUCUUGGAGUUCUUGGUGUUCUCCUUCUUGUUCUUCCUCUCAUUUUCCUCCCUAGCAUUAGUUGCUUCGGUGGGAUUUGAGAGAGAAGGACUUGGGCACUCCGUGUGCCCUUGCCAUUGCAUUUGGUGCAUCGAUUUGAGUUCUCCACGGUGAUACGUGGAAGUUACAAGUUGAGAAGCUUAUUACUCUUGGGUGCAUGGUGCCCUUGAGCUUGUUCCUCUUGGGUGCUUGGGCGCCCUAGACGGUUGGUGGUGUUCGGAGCUCAGUCAUUGUGGUGUAAAGCUCCGGGCAAGCGUCGGGGUCUCCAAUUAGGUUGUGGAGAUCGCCCCGAGCAAUUUGACGGGUACCGGUGACCGUCCCCAAGGGUUGCCAAAGUGUACGGGUUCGGUGACCGCCCCCAAGGGUCGCCAUUUGUACGGGUUCGGUGGCCGCCCUCAAGGGUCCCUUAGUGGAAUCACGACAUCUUGCAUUGUGCGAGGGCGUGAGGAGAUUACGGUGGCCCUAGUGGCUUCUUGGGGAGCAUUGUGCCUCCACACCGCUCCAAACGGAGAUUAGCAUCCGCAAGGGUGUGAACUUCGGGAUACAUCAUCGUCUCCGCGUGCCUCGGUUAUCUCUUACCCGAGCCCCUUUACUUAUGCACUUUACUUUGUGAUAGCCAUAUUGUUCUUUGUCAUAUAUCUUGCUAUCACAUAGUUGCUUAUCUUGCUUAGCAUAAGUUGUUGGUGCACAUAGGUGAGCCUAGUUGUUGUAGGUUUUGUGCUUGACAAAUUAACCUUUAGGUUUAUUCCGCAUUUGUUCAAGCCUAAACCGUAAUUAUUUUAAAGCGCCUAUUCACCCCCCUCUAGGCGACAUCCUCGAUCUUUCACCGAGAGCGAGUUAUCGGGUGGGGCAGCGGGUCCGGAGGGGAGGCUGGUGAGGAUGAAGACGAGCCCGCCUCCGGUGUGGCCGCCGCGGGCGAGGCUGCCGGCGUGGCGGCGGGCGAGGCCACCGCGGGCGAGGCCGGGGACACCGGGGGCGUCGCGGGCGUCAAGGGAGGUGCGGCCCCUACGACAGCCAAUCGGGGAGAGACUCGACCCGUGGCGCGGGGGGCACCCUCAAAGCCGGGAGGCGGCCCAAGAGAGGCAUGUGGGCGGCCAUCACCGGGAGCGGGCAAGGCCGCAACAUCCGAAGGUACCUGCUGGAACGGAAAAACCAUCUCAUCAAAGUAAAUGUGUCGUGAAGUGAUCACCCGAUGAGAGAUAGGAUCAUAGCAGCGGUAGCCUUUGGUGUUAGGAGGAUAGCCGAGAAAAAUACAGGCCACAGACCGAGGUGCGAGCUUAUGAGAAGCAGUGGAAGCGAUGCUAGGGUAGCACAGGCAACCGAAGAUGUGGAGCUCAGCAUAGGAGGGUGGCGUGCCAAACAAGAGGUGAUGAGGUGCAAAAUUCCCGCGAGUGCGACAAGGACGAAUGUUAAUGAGUAGUGAUGCGGUGGCAAGCGCGUCGGACCAAAAACGUGGGGGCACGUUGGCGUGAAAGAGGAGGGUGCGAACGCAGUCAUUGAGAGUGUGAAGCAUGCGCUCAGCGCGGCCGUUUUGUUGCGAAGUGUACGGGCAAGUGAGACGAAAGAUUGUGCCGUGUGUGGCGAGAAGGUUGCGGAUCGCAAGGUUAUCGAACUCCUUCCCGUUGUCUGUUUGCAACGCAUGAAUGGGACAUCCAAACUGCGUGGAGACAUAGGAGUAGAAGGUGGUGAGAGUGGCAACAGAGUCCGACUUUCGCCGUAACGGGAAGGUCCACACAUAGUGCGAAAAAUCAUCAAGUAUGACAAGGUAAUAAAGAUGGCCCGUGUUACUUGCAACAUGAGAGGUCCAGACAUCACUAUGAAUUAACUCAAAUGGGUAUGAUGCAACAUGCGAGGAAUUGCUAAAAGGAAGAUGAACAUGUUUGCCGAGGCGACAAGCAUGACAAGUGUGAUCGUCGAUCUUAUUACACGUGAAUGAAAAACUCCGAAGAAUAUGAUGAAGGGUGGCGAUGUUGGGAUGACCGAGACGCGCGUGCCAAAGGUCCACUCUGGCGGAAAGCGCCAUGGGUGCAACAAUGAAUGAGGUAGGUGAGUGGACCGGGUAGAGCUCGUCGGGGCUGUAACAUCAGUGGAGCACCAUCCGGGUGCGGGAAUCCUUGACAGAAAAGCCAAACAUGUCAAAUUCAACGGUAACAGGAUUUUCACGUGUAAGAGAACGAAUGGAAACAAGAUUUUUAAUGAUGUCAGGAGAAACAAGCACAUUAGAAAGAUAUAAUGGCAUGGAGUUAGAAGGAAAAGCAGCAUGGCCGACAUGAGUAAUGGGCAUGGAAGAACCAUCACCCACGGUAAUGCGAGCAGCGGUGUGAACGGGAUGAGCGGCAAGAAGGUUACCAGGGUUGGCGGCCAUGUGAGCCGUGGCUCCGGUGUCCAUAUACCAAUCGCUACCGCCAGUGUACUGCUGUGGCGUGGGGGCGGUGUGGAGAGCCGCUAGGAGCGCGGGAUCCCAAGGCGCCGGCGGAAGGGCCGGGGCGGACGGCGCCGGUUGAGGCGGUGGCGCCACAAACCCAUAGCCCGAGGGGCCGUAGAGCAGCGCGGGCUGGUACACCUGAGGGGCCGCGUACAGGGCCUGAUGAGGGGCUGGGCGGGCGCCGAAGGAGCCGGGGACGGGGGCACGCGGUAUAGGCAUGGAAUACGCGUGCACAACCCCCGUCCAAGGGUUCUAGCCGGCCUGCCAGGGAGCCGGUGGUAGCUGGUGCUGCGGCUGGCGGGGCGCCCCGCCGUGGGCAGCCGGCAGCUGCGGCAGCUGCGGCUUGCGGCCACCUCGGCCGCGACGCCCGCCCUGGCGCUGCUGCUGCUCGGUGGGGGGCGGAGGGGCCUGCGGCGGCGCCGGGUAGGGAAACCCGGGCGGCGGCGCCUGGAAGGAGCCCGGGGCGGGCCGCGGCAGUGGGCGGCGCACAGCCACGGGUACCGACGGUGAGAGCCGUGUGGGUGGCCCGGGUGCGCGACAUCCGCAUCUGCCGCUCCUCCUGCUUCAGGUACGCGACGAUCUUGGGGAAGGUCGGAUUGGUGAUGAGGGGGAUGUUGGAGGCGGCGUUCCCGAAGUCGUCGUUCAGGCCGGCGAUGAGGGUGUUGAGGAGAAGCUCAUCAGAGACCUUCUCGCCGAGGUCACGGAGCUCGUCAACAAGUUUCUUGAGGCGCAUGCAAUAAUCGUCAACAGACGACUCAAGCUGUUGGCACCCAAAAAACUCGCCGUGCAAGAAGACCUUGCGUUGGAGCGCGUUGUCGAUGAAGAGGCCGUUGAGCUUGGUCCAAACGGCGUGAGCGUCAUCGUCGGCGGAGACCACCGUGUGGAAGAGGUCCUUCGAGAUGGUGGUGUAGAACCAAUGGAUGAGAGUGGCGUCGAUGGCCGUCCACUCCUCAUCGUCCUCCAUGAAGCGGGAGUCCACGGAGCCAUCUAUGUGAUCCCGGAGAUUGUACUCACGGAACACGAGGGAGAAGUACGUCUUUCAGGCGUAGUACAUGGAGGUGAGGUGGUCGAGGACGACGGGAACCCGGGCGAGGAUGUUGAGGUCGCGGAUGACGACGGGAUCGGGACCUUCGAACGGGUUGGUGCGGCGGCUGCGGGUGGUACUGGUGGAACCGGGGGAGGCCAUGGCCUAGAGGGGCGGUGUGGCGGCGCUUGGGCGGCGGCGCGGCAGGGAGGAAGGCGGCGUGGCUNNNNNNNNNNNNNNNNNNNNNNNNNNNNNNNNNNNNNNNNNNNNNNNNNNNNNNNNNNNNNNNNNNNNNNNNNNNNNNNNNNNNNNNNNNNNNNNNNNNNNNNNNNNNNNNNNNNNNNNNNNNNNNNNNNNNNNNNNNNNNNNNNNNNNNNNNNNNNNNNNNNNNNNNNNNNNNNNNNNNNNNNNNNNNNNNNNNNNNNNNNNNNNNNNNNNNNNNNNNNNNNNNNNNNNNNNNNNNNNNNNNNNNNNNNNNNNNNNNGGCGAUGAGAUCGCGGCAGCGGCGGCGGCACGGGUUUGGGUUAGGAUCGUAGGUCUGAUACCAUGUUGGAAACGAUUGUUUUGGCAAUGCUUCACGAUGUAUUGAUCGGUGCAAAGCGCACGUAUAUAUGAAGUACAAAGUGGGCCACAACCUCAACUAUACAAAGACUAAGAGGUGGGCCAUACUAUACAAUAUACUGCCUCCAUUCCAAAAUAGAUGACUCAACUUUAUACUAAAGUUAGUACAAAGUUGGGUCAUCUAUUUUAGAACGGAGGCAGUACAUGCAUAAACCAUAUAUUCAACGUUACUAAUUGUCUUGACUCUCUGAUUUUACCGUGCGGCCUUAUGGUGCCAGUGAAGGAUGGGUGGCUGUCGUCGCAUGGGCAAGUGCACUUAUGUCAUUUUUGUAUGGCUGGUACUCAGUGAUAUGUUUGGUUGUUGUCUGAAACGAACCGUACCAUUUCUUUGGUUAUAGCAAAAAAUUUGGCCCUUGAUUUGUUAUUUAUUUUUUGUCACUUGAUCGUAGGGUGAAUCUCGAUAAAUCAUCGGUGUUUUUUAGUGAGGGUUGCCCUCAAACUACUAAAGGGCAAGUCAAAGAAUGAGACCUUCAAGUACUUGAAGCACAAGCACGGAAUAUGGAGCAAGAUUCCAAAAGUGUCCUUAGCUCGACCUCAUUUUUUUGGAAAUGGAGGCAUACCCCCGGCCUCUGCAUCAUGAUGAUGCAUACAACUCUCUUAUUAAAAAUCCAGAAAGUAUUGCCAAAAAGGUCUUACAGCUCGCAAAUGAAGCAAAACAAAGUAAAUAAAACAAAAAAAUACAAGCGGACAAAGACAACCGAUACGGUAAUAAUAAGGAUAAGCUCUCUAGACUCCUAUCCUGUUAUGCAUACGCCAUACGAACCGGUUGAAUAUAACCCAAGCCACCAUCUCCCAUUGGUUGCACCCAGUAACCAAAGGCUCCCUGGAGUCCAUAGGAGUGAGUAAGGACCACGUACGGAUCCAAGUUGUAGCUUUGAAGAUAACCUGCAAAAAAGUUAAGUUGUGUUGUCUAUUAAAAAUCAUAUCAUUUCUGCAGUUUCAUAUAGCCCAUAAUAUGCACAUAUUCCAAUCCGAAUACGAGAUGUUGUGAUCUUUUCAACCCCAGCUAACCACGUCCCAAACAAAUACGCAAUAUCUACUGGGGGAUUGAUAUUAAAAGCUAUAUGAAUCGUUCUCCACAGUAACUUGGCAAGUGGGCAUUCAAGAAAUAAAUGUUGUAUUGUUUCAUCCUGAGCACAAAAACAACACCGCGAAUUGCCUACCCUCGUCGCCUCUUAAGUAGGUUAUCCUUAAAGUCUGAAUUUUUUUAGUUUUAAAAAACUUUUAUUUUUGUGAUAAACUUGACAAAUGUUUUAAUACUUGCAAAGCUUCAUCAUGAAAUGUCACUCGUGUAAGUCAAUAAAACAAAAAAUCAACACUCUAAAAUGCUUUUGAAAAUAACUUUUUUGCAGUAUUGAUUUUUUUCCACGCUCCACGACUUCCACAAAUGUUAUUUCAUGAUGAAAAUUUGCAAGUACUUAGAACAAAUUGUCAAUGUUUGACCCCGAAAAAUCAGUUUUUUUGCAUUUUAAUGUUCACCUGAGGUCAUUUGAGCUCGAGCUAAGAACAUUACAUCCACAAGACUCAAGGUUAGCUUGAAAAUUUAUUGUCUCUCUGUGCAUGUGUGUGUGGGGGGGGGGGGUAUGUGUUGAUCAAGUCGGUGGUAUAAAGCUUAUCCCAGUUUAUUCAAUGUCCUAUUUUGAACUCCCUCUUGGCCUUUGUGAGUAUAUUAACACUCUUAUUAGGAAAUACUAGUGGUGAAGCAAAGGAGGUGAACAUAAAGUGGCUUGGGUUAGGUUUCUGUGAUUUUGAGUUGUUUAACCUUGCACUUCUAGCAAGGCAAUCAUGGAGAUUAUUAGAAGAACCUAGCUCUUUGAGUGCAAGAAUACUGAAGGCAAUUUACUAUCCAUAUAGCUCAAUCCUUGAUAUGAAUCUUGGCUCUCUCAUCCAUCAUAAAUCUGGAGAUCAAUCAUUAAAGUGCGUGAUAUUCUAGCUCAAGGCCUUAUAAGAAGAAUAGGUGACGGAGCCUCCACUGAAAUAUUGUGUCAUAACUGGCUUCCUCGACAAGGGAUGAUGAGGCCAAUUACUACACGUACAAAGGCAACCAUUAGCAUCGUAUGUGACCUCAUAGAUGAGAUGUAUAAAUGCAAUCAUUAAGGUGUUUUUACAAAGACUUGCCCAGCGGUGAUUCCAUGUUAUUAUCUUCUUCACCAUCGAAAUAUGUCUAGCACUUGCUCGUUAUGUGGUUGUCAAUACUCACGGCAACAUUCCUUGAUUGAUUGCUUGGUGUCGCCUCUUCCUAAUGAAGAAGUUCCUGGGUAUAUGAUGUCUAUUACGCAACUUUAUUCUUGUAGACUCGUGUUGGGCCUCCAAGCGCAGAGUUUAGUAGAACAAUAGCAAUUUUCCCUCAAGUGGAUGACCUAAGGUUUAUCAAUCCGUGGGAGGCGUAGGAUGAAGAUGGUCUCUAUCAAAUAACCUUGCAACCAAAUAACAAGGAGUCUCUUUUGUCCCCAACACACCAAAUACAAUGGUAAUUUGGAUAGGUGCACUAGUUCGGCGAAGAGAUGGUGAUACUAGUGUAGUAAUUAAUGAUAGUAGAUAUUGAUUUUGGUAAUAGGAACAAUAAAAAACAGCAAGGUAGCAAUUGAUAAAAUGGAGUACAAACGGUAUUCCAAUGCUUGAAAAUGAGGCCUAGGGUCUGUACUUUUGCUAAUGCAAUCACUCAACGUGCAACGAAGAAUCACUCCAAAGUUCCUAUCUAGCAGAGAACAUAAGAAGAAAUUGUUUGGAGGGUACGAAACCAUCUCAAAGCUAUUCUUUCCGAUCAAUCUAUCCUAGAGUUCGUACUAAAAUAACACAAAACUAUUCUUUCCGAUCAAUCUAACCAAGAGUUCGUACUAAAAUAACGCCGUAUGAUACACAUCAACCAACUCUAAUGUCACCUAGAUACUACAAUGUCACAUGCGAUAUGCAUCAAACAAUUUCAGAUUCAUAAUACUCAAUCCAACACAAAGAACUUCAAAGAGUGCCCAAGAUUUCUACCGGAGAAACAAAGACGAGAACAUGCAUCAACCCCUAUGCAUAGAUUAACCCAAUAUCACCUCGGGAAUCCGGGAAUUGAGUGCCAAAACACAUACCAAGUGAAUCAAUAUGAUACCCCAUUGUCACCACAGGUAUUCAUAUGCAAGACAUAUAUCAAGUGCUCUCAAAUUCAUAAAAGUAUUCAAUCCGAUAACAAGGAAAUCUCAAAGGGAAAACUCAAUUCAUCACAACAAGAUAGAUAAGAGAAAACACCAUAUGAUCCGACUAUAUUAACAAACCCCGUGAUACAUAAAGAUUGUGACAUCUCAAGAACACGAGAGAGAGAGAGAGAGAUAAAACACAUAGCUACUUGUACAAACCCUCAACCCCGUGGGUGGACUACUCCCUCCUCAUCAUGGUGGCCGCUGGGAUGAUGAAGAUGACCACCGGUGAUGAUUUCCCCCUCUGGCAGAGUGCCGAAACGGGGUCUAUAUUGGUUUUUCGUGGCUACAGAGACUUGCGGCGGUGGAAAUUCUGAUCUAGGGUCUUCCCGAGGGUUUUUGGAAUUUUUGAUAAUUUAUAGGGCGAAGAGGGGGUACGGGAGGCCACCGAGGUGGGCACAACCCACCGGGGAGCGCCUAGGGGCCCAGGCGCGCCCUGGCGGGUUGUGCCCCUCUAGGGGCACCCCCGAGGUGUUGCUCUGGCCAUAUGGAUGUCUUCUAGUCCAUAAAAUCCACAAGAAGUUUCACGGUGUUUGGACUCCGUUUGAUAUUGAUUUCCUGCGAUGUAAAAAACAAGCAAAAAACAACAACUGGCACUGGGCACUGGGUCAAUAUGUUAGUCCCAAAAAAUGAUAUAAAGUUUCUAUAAAAUCAUUGUGAAACAUCCAAGAAUGAUAACAUAACAACAUGAAUACUUCAUAAAUUAUAGAUACGUUGGAGACGUAUCAACAUCCCCAAGCUUAAUUCCUACUCGUCCUCGAGUAGGUAAAUGAUAAAAGAAAUGAUUUAUGAAGUGCUAGCAAAGUGCACAAGUUUGAGCAAUGUCAAUUUAAAUCACUUUUCCCAGCAUCAUAACAGCAAUUAUUUCUCAUAAAACUUCUCAUGUUAAAGUAGCAAUCAAUUCACAUGUUAAGGUUCAAACAUUGAAUUCUCUUGAAACUGAACAACCUAUAUUCUUAGUCACCAAACAAUUGUAAUUCAACUUAUUCAACAGAGUCUAAGUAAGAGCUCCACAUACUCAACCAUCAUAUAGACUUCUGUGAUUGCUAACACUCACCGCAUACGCAUGAGCAAAAUGUCUCAACUGGACACAUAGAAAGAUAGGGGCUUAUAAUUUCGCAUCCCAACGUAUUCACCUCAAGGGUGAUGUCAAUCAUAAUAACUCAUGCUACCUAUAUCCAACUGGAUAUAUGUGCGUAGAUCUUUCCACACCACAUGAUGCUUGCCAAAAGAGAAAAUAAAAAGGAAUAGAGAGAAGAACUUUGACUCUUGCACUAAAGUAAAUACAUAAAAGUAAAAGAUGGGCCCUUCGUGAGGGAAGUAGAGGUUGCCAUGCGCUUUUUGUUUGUAUGCUAAAUCCCUUAGUGCAAGAGAACAUCAUGUUAUAUUGCCUCUUAUGAUGGAAAUCUUUAUUAUGCAGUCUGUCGCUUUUAUUCUUUGCCAUCACAAGUUCGUAUAACGCUCAAUUUUCUCUUACACUAAAUGAUCUAACACUUUUAGAAGCAAUUUUUAUUACCUUAUUGAUGACAACUUACUUGAAGGAUCUUACUCAAUCCAUAGGUACACUACAAAAAAAUACACUUCCGUGAUGAUACAUGUUUGUCACAGUAGGUCGCAUUUUUUGUCAUGCAUGUACAUCCAUGAUGAUUUUAUGACAGAAUCAAGAUAGUCAUACCUGUGCUGACGUAAAAGUGUUCCAUGACAUUACCAAAAUUAUCAUCACGGAAGUGUCCACUUCCAUGACGAUAAAUCGUGCGUCACAGAAGUCUUUCGUCAAGGGUGACCGAUACAUGGCAUCCAACGUAACGGAACACCGUUAAGCUAUCGGGUCGGAUUUUGGAUCCGAUAACCCAUUAAUAGCCCAGACCAAUGGGAAAUUUCCACGUGUAAAAUUCUGAUUGGCCGAAGGGAACACCUGUCAGCUCAUCAGUGGGCCAGAUGUCGCCCGUCCAUUGGAGGAGACAUGCCUAUGAUACGUCGACACGUGACUGGGCCCAACAGAGGCCCAUAUAGGUUAAAAAGGCUGGCCCAGUCAAAGGCCCGUAGUACUUAAUCAGGUACUAGUGGGCCAGCCUAAUAACGUCCUGCUUAAUAAAGGCCCAUUUACGGCCUGAAGCUAGAUCUGGCCCGUUAAUUGUUCGCCCAAUAUUUGGGCCAUUUACGGCCCGAAGCCAGAUCUGGCCCGUUAAUUGUUCGCCCAAUAUUUGGGCCCAUUUGUGGCCUGAAGCCAGAUCUGGCUCGUUAAUUGUUCGCCGAAUAUUUGGGCCCAACUACAACCCAGUGACUUUUGGCCUGUUAGAGGCCUGAUGUAGACAUGGGCCCAUUUCAGCCCGGUGUGACUUUCGGCCUGGGAAUGGCCCGUGCUGCCCAUGGGCCAUAUAUGGUCCGACGGGACAUCGGGCCCACUAAUGGCCCAUGCUAAAGGUGGCAACAGUUAAGCCCAACGUGACUUUGGGCCUGUUAAAGGCCCGUCGCAUAAUUCGGCCCGUUGAUGCCUGUACUAAGCUUUCGGCCUCUUAAAGGCCCAUGAUAUCAGUGGGCCAACUAAGGCCCGAGAUAUGUUUCGGCCUGGUAAUGGCCCGUGAGCUAAUUGGGCCCAAAAAGGCCCGGUCUACAUUUCGGCCUGCUAAAGGCCCGUCGACGACUAGUGAAAAUUGAGGCCCAACAUGCAUUUUGGCCUGGUAAAGGCCCGUGGUUUCAUCCCGGCCGUAAUAGGCCAGUACAAUAUUCAGCCUGUUAAUGGCCCAACGCUACCUGGGCCAAACUAAGCGCUGGGUCGACAAAAGGCCCAACUAAAAUAUAGGCCGGUGUAAGUUUGGGCCUGGCGCAAUGUGUGAAGACCCCAAUCAUUCGGGCCCAAGAAAGACACAGGCUGGCCCAAUUGUGGCCCGCUAAAAACUAGGCCCGUUAGAGUCGAAUGUUUCGGCCCGGUCGACUACAUCUAUUUUUUUCCAGAUAGCGAAUGAUGGCAAUAACUAGUAGGAAUUAAGAACAAACCUACUCUAUACAAUAAAGAAAUUACGACAUAGUAACUAAGAAUAAACCUACACUAUACAAUAAAGGAUUUAAGGUAUAUUACAUCCACUGGGCAUUGAAGUUCGCCACCAGUGAUCAUAAAGCGCAACGAAGAAGCAGAUUACAAAAACUGGGCACCAUUGCAGCGUAACAAAAUAAUACUGAACCGAGACCACUUCCAAGAUAGUUCAAGAAAGGUUAGCCUUGCGGGGGAACUGCUGCGCAAGCUGCUGAGCAAGGCUGUGAGACCGGCCUAGCAUGUUGGUCAUAGCUUCCAGGUGUAGCUGUUUAGCGAUGAGGUUCUCAUUCGUGUUCUCCGCAAUCUUUCUUAGAGAUAGGACUUUAGGUCGAAGUUGAGUUGCAGAAUGACUUUCUGCUAGAACUUGGGACUGAAGAAGUCGAACUGAUUCAGACAACGAAUUCUGUGAGCUUGUCUGACUGUUAGUCUCAAGUAACUUGAACAUUGCAUCAAGACAAGACUUUGGGGUUGUCUCGCUAUCUUCAAGAUGUUUUGCCUUCUUUGCUGCAAUAUAUGUUGGGUUUGUCUCACAACCUUCAGCAGACUUGUGCAUGCCAUCAGGCAUAUCACCCUGAAACAAAGCAGAGAGAUGAAAGGUUUUGCACGUGUAUAAACAAAGAUGAUAACUGUGUUGUCAAUUCCAUCCAAUUUCAAAUUAGAAAAUAAAGAGUAAGUUCAAAAUAUCAAUAGCAUAAUUUGGCAUUGUUCAUAAUGCGGGGAGCUUCACCACACUACUGGAUUACCAUAUCAACAUAACAAGCAUAGAUGAAGGGCAAAGAAAAUCAUUGUAUCUAUUUUGGAUAAUGUGCAUGGCAUGUUGUUCAUAUCAUCAACCACAUUAGUAUGAUAAAAUAGGAGAUGACAAGGUGCAAAAGUGGGCUGCUUCACCACACACUGGAUUAUAGAUCCACAAAAACAAGCAUACAUAUAGGGAGUAUUAAGUAAUGUGCAUGGCAUGAAUAAGGAAUUUGGUUUUACAAGUAAAACUUAGAACUUACGGUUCUUGCGAACAUGCAUUUUGGUAGAAACAGCAAACUAAACAGCAGUUAACGUUAGGGAGUAUGAGAAAAUUAAACAACAGUUGAGGAUAAAGGCUUUAGAAGGACUGACUUACAUUAACAGUUAACACCGGCUUUAUAAUGCCCUUCUCCAUGUCAAGGGAAGGAUAACUCAAGAAUUUCAGCACAUAAUCUUCUUCAUAAGCAUUGCCUGUACUCUACAUUUUGUAGAGAGUAAUUAUAGAUAUGAUAAUACUGGAAGGGAUAGAGGAUAAUGAAGAUAAGAUGUAGAUUGAUGCUACAUAAUCAACUACCAAUCCCUGGAAGUACAAGCGUUAUAGGACAAAAUGUACUGACAAGAGCAAUGGGCUACACUUCUGCACUGGCAUUGUCUGUGUAUUCUACUUGUUGGUAAGAUUAAAUAUAGAUCUAACUUUUUUAGUAAAUGGUGGGCGAGGGAGAUAAGAUGCAGAAUGCUACAAAAAUGAACCAAUCCCUCUUCCCAUAAUACAAGAGUGUUUUGAACACUGGUGUACUGUACAAAAUGUUCUUAUAUUAUGGGACGGAGGGAGUAGCUGUUAAUGUAAGUAUAGUGAUAGACCACGUUCAGUCCUUACAAGAGGACUGCAGAGCUAAACCUCUUCAAAAGCAUUGGGUUGAUUCUAAAUUUAUGUAAGAGUCCAUACGGAUCUUAUAAUGUCCACCAAAUGGACGAUUACGAGGCUAACAUGUGCAGUGAUGCUACAUAAUCAAACAACUAUGAAAGUAAGUAUGCUCAUACACGGCGAUAGGUACUCACAAGAGCAAUGCAGUGUGCAGUAUAGUUGCGAGAUUUUGUGGUCCCUUGAGAACGAAUGUUCUUCUGCUAACAGUUUUCGUACAAGUGAGACAUUAAGGCAAAUGCAGAAAUGUAGUUCAAAUUGUGAUGUGAUAUCAUAGACAAUACCUUAUGCUGCAGCCGAGACCAAUAUGUAACAAGAUUAUUCCAGGCACCGUCGGAUAAAUGUAGCACCGGAGACUUUACAGAAAUUUCGUUCAGAGGCUUGCCAUCGAAGUGCGGUUGCCUCAAGUAGGAACGAUACUUCAUCAACGAGUGCUUGAAAAGCGCAACCAACCCUUGCUCAUCAUCACAAUCCAGUUUUCUCCUCGCCUAUUUAAAAGAAUGAAAUCUUGUAUCUUCUGUCAGCAGAAACAUAUGCAGUAAUGACCGUGAAUAACAUUAGUACAUUACUUACGCGUAAGUUGCGGAGAAAGACUGGAAAUUGUUCUGUGUCUGCGGUAUAAUCUUUCCAUGAAGGAAAGAUGCACACAAAGUUCCUGGCAACAACAUAAGCUUCAUCUUAUAAACUGGGAAGAAAUGGAACAUGGGUCCUAUUUGCUGCAAUUGGGGUUCUCUCUGGUUCGAAAAGGGAUUUGGCAACUGGAUUUGGUGUACUCUUUGCUGGAAUGGGGGUUUUGCAUCGUACAACUGGUGCUAUGUCAACUGGCAUAAUCAUACUGUUUGCUGCAGUUGGGGUCUGCUGAGUUGGGGCAUCAGAAAUGACCAGUGUAGUAGGGCUAGAGUCUGAUAGAGUUGGGGUGUUUUGUGGGUCAGGUGAUAUUGCAACUACACCUAAUGGGCUAUUUGAUUUAUCAGGUUCCACUACCUUUUCCAAAUACUUUGCUUGUGCUCCUCCACGAUCAGCAAUCACACUCUUCCUUUUGAACGUCUGAUACACAAGAACAACAUUUGAAUGGAUAAAUAUGGUAUGAUGACAGAUGGAAUAUUUACUAAAAAUGGAUAGGCAGGGCGUAUUCACAUACAUGAUGUGUAAACUAAGCUAACGGAAGUUCAACAAAGUAGAAGCAAUGCAAAGCAUUAGUUGCAAGAUAUGUGUGAGCAAUGUAACCUUAGAAAGUUAGAGCAAGUACCUUGAUGGGUGAAUAAGAUAGGGCAUCUUCCUCUGACUCCUCCACUAGGGAGCUACAUUGACUUAGGUCUCCCUCUAGCUCAGAAUCAUUGUUAGGAUCAUAUUCUGAGCAUGAAUCUGUAGGUGGAGAGCGUUUCCAUUGCAUUGCAUCUAGACUUGAUUUCAGUCCCUUAAUGCCAAGUUUGACAGCCAUGGCAUUGUUCUGCUUUAUUCUUUUCAUGCGCGCAAGCUCAUAAUCAUUAUGAUGCUGUUUAGAAUCAGACAUUCAUGAAAACAUAAAAAGUAGUCAGAUUAUCUAUGGAAUGCAUUGCGGAUUCAACUCGAAGAGUGUCUCCCUAUAAACCCCUACAUAUGCAAAGUUCACCCCCAAUCAUGCUGACCAGACCACACACAGAAAUACAAACCCCUUAUGUCUCUAUACCAGGCAGGCACACAUUUCAAAACUGAAGUAGGAACAUUAGAAUCAUAUGAAAUUCGUAUUUGAACAAAUAAACUAAGAAAUUAUGAGUGGCAUAAUGUUUAGCUUCAAGGGUGGAGUGUUGGUAGUGCGACACAAAGCAAGUAGGCAGAUUUUAUUCCAUGUAAAAGAUUGAAACCUAUGUAAAAGCUGGAAAUGGCACUUUCUUUCUAUACAAUGCAGUGUUCGUUGCCCACACAUCAUGGAAGAUAUCACAUAGAGAAAUACUAUUCACUCAUGUCUACGGUUUCAGUAUUUAGAAACAGGGUGGUCCACCCUAAAAGAAUAUUGACAACAAAUAUUACAAGGCAAGCAUAGAUGUAGUGAAUCAAUCAUUUACUUGUAGCUUACUAGGACAAGUAUGCAGAAUUGUAACUGCAGUAAGAGACCGUCCAAAAUAUGAAUGAAGAAGUUUGUCUAACACUUAUUGUUUGCAACUAAUCGACGUGAAUAAUUGGAUAUUAUAUCGAAUGAGUAAGAAAGACAAGUAAAAUUGUCAACAAACCUGGCUUGCAGUAGUAAUUUGGGUCAAUGUCACUACGACCAACAAUCCAAAAUGACUAGUGUCUGUUAUGAGGGCCGGAAUUUUGAAAACCCUAUGAACUUUAGAGGUACUAAAGAUUACCGAAAUACAUCUGAACCAUUAAGUGUAGGUAGCACUGAGCAGACAACAAACCCUAAUGACAGUCCUGCCUAAUGAGUAAUGAAUCAAUUAGAAAAUGGGUGAUGAGGAGUGGCUGCUGAGUGUUGAGGACGUAUCUCAGGAUAAAUCGGGUUGGCUUGGUGGGUGCUGCAUGCCUGACCCCUGAACGGACUGGGAAGGUAGGCACGGCGGCGCGCCCGGGCAGCGGUGAUGCUGUUGGGCGAGCGGCUCCUGGCCUCCUGUUAGUCCGGCGUCUCCUCCUAGAGUCAUGCCGUCCGGGGACAGAAAUUCGUCGGUGAGGCAGGCGGCUGGGGGCGAGUAGAGAUCGGAAGUGUGCAGCAGAACAGAGGGGAAUCAGGGCCUGGGACGACCCAAAAUCCCAGGGUGGGCCGGCCCACCGUGGGCACCCUAUAGAGAUACACACCCGAGCGGCGAACAUGCAUUUUCGAAACUAAUUUACGAACAUUUAGCUGACCAAUUAAACAACUCUGUUUUAAUAAUAUCAGAUUCGUAUUUGAACAACUAAGCUUGUGUAGCUUGAUGGGUGGAGCAGUGUUAUUAUGACACGAAGCACGUAUUCUGAUUGUGUAGUGAUCAUAAAAGGGGGAAACUCUAAGCAUAUUUUUUUUAGAAAAAGAGGGUUUCCCCUCUGAUUUCUAUUAAAGAAACCACCACGGAACCAACAUGAUCAAUUAAACCCUAAGCAUGAUAAAUUAAACCGUAUUAUGGCUGUGCCAUGGCAGAUUUGAAGCUGCAAACCGGAGAAAUGAUAUUUAGCAUGCAUUGUUUGCUUCGAACUAAGAACUAAAUUCUAAGAGCUGAAAAGAAAGUAGAGUAACCAAGUUAAGAUCUAUUUUCUGGUUGAGAUCAAAAAGUUGAGGAGAUAUGAAGUACCACCUCUCUUGCGGCGCCGUGUAGGCAUCAGGGGUGCGAUGGCUGUCAGUGGUGUUGAAGCAGAUCUGCGGCGGUAGAUGGGUGCAUCGGGGGAUAAGUCCCGUUGCGGUGGAAGAGAAGGUCGUGUGAGCGGCCCCGGCAAAGAGGACGAUGACGUCGAUGAAGCGAGAGGACGUGAUGCAAGGCUCUUGGUCCGUCGCCGUGGAUGAGAAACGUCCAUCUCUAGCAGUGGGCGACGCGGUCUUGGUAGGUGCUCCGGUAUGGUGGAGGACGGUGGCGAUGGAUGUGGUGGAGGACGGUGGCGGUGGAUGGGGUGGCGGAUGGAGGCUGGUGUGGGGAUGGGGUGUUUUAGCGCGGAUGGUGUAUGAAUGGGAAAAUGGAGGGAGAGGUACGGGGAACCAUGUUUUUGGUACGUGCCUGUCUGAAAUAUGGGAAAAUUACGAACUUAGCUCCCAUUUAAAAUUUGGACGUCUCGUCGGUUGGGGAUAGGACGGUAAUCUCGCAUCUUGCCGAUAUUUGCCUAGAGCGAUUUCGGGCGAGGAGAGGGUGGUUGGCGCCCAUGGUUGGCGCCCAUGGUGUAUGAACGGGGCUGACAGGUAGGGUGGUUGUGUCACGUCUGAGUGAAGUUACAAACCUGCCCCUAUUGAAAAUAUUUGUCUACAUCGAUUUCGACCGAGUUGAGUUUGUUUUGCCGCCCACUGUGUAUGAAUGGGGAAUGAAGGGAGAAACAGAGGUCUUUCAGACGAGCUUGAAUCAAAUGUGUUUUGCCGCCCAUGUUUGACGCCCACCAUGUCGGAAUGGGCUCAGAGGCGGUCGUGUCACGUCUAAUUGAAGUUACUAACCUACCCCUAUUUAGAGCAGUGGAAAUCAGGCUGAUGAAUUGUCCGUGUAAUGGGUAGAUAGUAAUUUCCAUCUCCCAAGCACUUCACUUCGGGCAGCCGACAUGGGAGUGGACAUUUUGCCGCUUCUUUCGAAUUUUGGGACAAUAAGCAUCCACGUUUGCCCUGGCAACUAAAUUCGAAUCCAUUUUGUAUUCCUAUAUGAAUCUUUAUAAAUCAUUCUAUGUGUUUUUAUAUAUCUUCAAAAGGACGACAAAGAUGUAUUCCACUGUCAUAUAUGAAUAUGGCUUACAAAUGCCGAUACUCAAAUUCAGAAGCUAGAAUCCAGUUUAAGGUGAAUUCAAAUAUUUGGAACACUUCAUGUCCAACUCAAAUGUCACACGCAGCAUAAUGUGUAUACCCAUUUAGAUAUGUACACAAGCGAUGUAUCAAGAUUCAAAUACCGAGUCAAUCAACCAAGAAUGUACAGAACUAACAGACAUAUAAACACUUAUAGAGUAUAUGGAUCAAUAAUAUCAACAAACAUACAUAAGCCAGGCCGCUGUACUUUUUUUUGCUACAACAACAUCCUUUUUUUAGCUAGCAUCUUGGCCCUUUCCGAUGCGUGCCACUUAUGGUCCAUGUAUACUUCUAUUAGUGCUGAAUGCACAUUCAGCCUGAUUGGCAUAUUUGUAGGUCUGCCACAGCAAUCCAAAUGAAAUGUCUCAGAAUCUUAUCAAUUAAUACAAACUUGUGCUCAAAUAAAAUUACAAACCAAAAAACAAAAAACAAAAAAACAAUUAUUACAUGAUCUCUAAAACAAAUGGUUUGAUUGAUUACAUGAACAAACAACACAAAGGUUAUUCAACGAUGGAAAGAACGUUUCACCUAUUAUUUACCAAGUGGGAAUUUAAUUUCCUUUUUUCCCUUCAGGAUCUUAACAAUGUGGUCAGUCUCAGCUUGCUUCGUUUUGAAAUCCACCAAAUAUUUAAUGGUUGUCUUGAGUACUGCUUGUGAUUGUGCUGUUUGCUUCCGCAACAUGUCAACUUCACCUCUAAGUGCAGAAGCAGAAUCUCUUUCUACCACUAGUUUAGCCUCUAGAGCAUCAUCAGUUGGCAAUUCAUAAUGCACGAUUGGGCCGGUGCCACUGCUGUGGGAUGAUGCAACGUCCAUGGGGACCUCGCUCUUUGAUCUUGGGCUAACCUGUUUUGCCAUUAAAGUUCCGAUUGGAUUCAGAAAAGUUGAAGUUAGCAAAACAUCUCAACUGGGAGUUAUAACAGCAAACCAGUUAAACAAACAAGGAAUUAAAGAGUUUCAAUUGGAUGCUGAAAAGUAGUUAUUAACAUCAUUGUAACCCGUUGUUGCAGCAUCAAAGCAGUUAAACAAACAAGUAGAUAUUUAAGUUAAGGCAAACAGGUAAUUCUUAACAGUAAGUAUCAAACACAUAGAUAGACGCAGUCUACAAUAGGAUUAACAAGCUGUGGCAUUAUGUAAUCAGUAGCAAACUAAACUAAGCCAUGCAACAUAAUUGAACAAUUUUACAAUAAGUGGCUAACUAAAAUUCCGAGAAGCAGGUAACUGAACUUAUGCUAGUUCUUUGUACAGGCACACUGCAACGUCUUUUUCGCUUACAAGGUUGUAUGAAGGAGUCCAUGGCAUCAAUUGCUUGGAUAUGCAGUCCCAAUACUUCUUUCUUCCCACACUGCAUUGGUAAGUCGAAUGGUUAAUCUGGUAAGAUGGUGCGUCCUUGAUAUGUUAUAUGAGGAUGUGUAGUCAGACUAGUUGUGGCCACACACAUCACACUGGCUUUUACUGUAUAAUUCAUGCGAUUACUUUUGGCAUAUCGAGAUCUAAGCAAUCUACAAUAGGAUGAAAAGACUGGCAUCCUUCACAUUAUUGGCGAACUUAGUUCAUAGAAACAAGCAAUUCAACCAUUCUGUGGGUAAAUCAAAAGCGCCACUAGAAUAAUUUUCACUACCCAAUCAUACACGCAAAAAGGGGCGACACCACCAUAGGCGCUGGUAUGGGCGGCCACCUCAGGUGGCUGGAAAGUGUGCACCUAGUUUGAGUCGUCCAGGUUGGCCCAGGCUAGUUUUGUUCGUCCCAAUGCACGAGCAGGCAAUGUAAAAAAUGAAGAAAGAUGUUUCAAUUUGGAUGGGCCAAUAACAUAAGUGCAAGGCAGGCCCUAUAGCAAGCUCGCGGCCCCAACGGGCGCCUCCCAUAUCCAUCGACAGCAGGAAAAAUCCUAAUUCAUUCGCUCCAUCCUCCAGUCUAGUUCGCUCCUAACCUAGCCGCCACUGGACAGACCGACACAGCACUUCCUCGCACCCUCGUUGGAGGGCGGUCGCCGGGCUUCAAGCGAACGGAAGGACAAGAAGAUGAAUAUCCAACCUUGGGUGUAGCCCGCGUGGAAGGCAGCAGCGGCAGCACGGGCAUGGCAUCGAGCUUGCACAAACGGACAGUAGCAGCUUGCAAGAGUAGCAUGCGCAACGAGCAGGUACAUCACAUCCCUGAUUAUAUCUAAUUCAACUCUUCAAUUUCUGGCCAAUAGUUAAACCUGACGGUGUUGUAAAACUGCUUGUAUGUAGGGAAUCUAUGAGAAAAUGAAACCAAUUUCUACUUAUUUUAUAACUCCCCCAAUCAAUACUGAACUGACUGAAUCUGAUGUAUCUAAUCAAGUUUUCGAUGCAAACAUACAAGCUCAUGUUGUUGUUGAGCCUGAAGUGUCUAAUGAACAGACUGCUAAUGAAGGAUUUGAUGCAAACAUUUUACAUGCUCCUGGUGAUGAACAUAUAGUGUCUAAUGAGGGAUCUAAUGCAAGCAUUUUGCAACCUCAUUGAAGGAUUUAGUGUCUAAUGAUGAUCUGCUAUGUUGAGAGAGACAAAGAUUUGCAGGCAUUGAUGACAAGCAAGUUAUAGUGCAUUUUCAUAGCUUGAGGAAACAUCGAGGCCAUCUACCAGAAAGUCCCCGUAUCUUGACAACAUAGCAUAAAUACUUUUCUAAUUUGUUGUUUGAAACUAUUGGCAUACUUGUGCAGGAUAGAUAUAUUGAUAUGCAGUUUGCGCACUGGUUAUAGGUGCAAUUACACUUUGAUUUUCAGCCAGAGAACAAAUAAUUCAAGCAGGUACAGACCAUGUUUGUAGUCCUUGUACACCAUGUUGCAUUUUGUGUUUUUUGGUGCUUGCAUCAUUUAGUGUUUAUAAUCUGAACUACUUUGGAUCAUUAGCUGGUUUUCAAAGUGCAUGUAGCUUCACAUUUCUCAAGUUAUGUUGAUUUCCGGAGUGCAAGUGCCUUCGUAUUUUUUAAGUUAAAUGUUCGCCCCUGGUAACUUGAAUUCGUGGAUCCGCCACUGCACACAAAUCAUACAUGAAUGCCAGUACGAAUUAAAUGAAAUGCAGGGACUUACGCUAGCUCGUUGUACAGGCUCACUACAGCUCUGCUUGCGCUUGGGAUGUUCCAUGUACAAGCCCAUGUUACCACUUGCUUGGAUGUGCAGGCCUUGUGCUCCUUGUAUCCCCCUCUACAUUUUUGACACGGCGAAUGGUUGAUCAAAUAAGAGGAAUCGACCUUUAUGUUGUACCGAAGGACAUAUACUUACAAGGUUAUACGGGUGUGCAGGAUGUGUACCAGAUCCCGUAGCACCAUCAUGCUUCGCUAAAAAAUGGAUUUGCUUGUUUCAGAUGAUAUCUCUAGAAGAAAUAAGAGUUAAAGUCAGAGUUUCAUAGGCAUGUAAGCUUAGAGAGCAGUGAAAGGAAAUCCAAACAUCGUCUAAAUAGUGCACAAGGGAGUGAUGUGUGGAUACCUAGUUCGGGCCGGCGUUUGGGCAUGCUCACCUAGCUAGAGUGCGGGUCACUUCAGAGCCGUUGAGGGUGAUGCGCUGGUGUUGGCUGGCCGCGCACGAAUGCAGAUCUUGAGUGGCAGCGGAGCACUAUGAUGUGGUGGACGAGACUGUUGGUGAAGCCCCAACGGCCUUGGGGGCGGAGGUGCGACGAUGUGCUCGGUGAAGUAGCCCCGAUGAGCUGGGAGACGGCGUCGGUGAAGCGCACCUCAUGCGGUGGAACUCGGUGUUUGUGAGGCACAUCGGUUGUGGUGGCCGAUGUUGUCGGUGGACCAUCCGGUGCGGUGGACGACGGCGUAGAUGAGGUAGCUCCGGUGCGGUGGUGAAGCGCGACCGUCGUCUUCGUCGUUGUCAUCCGGCACAAAGGUGGGGAAAGAGACGAGACAAGGGGCGAUUCGAACUUUGCUUCGUUUGGCGGCAAAUUAGGGAUUUGAGCAAUCUGGGCGCGGAAGGGGACGGUGGAGAAGAGAGAUUUUGCAGGGCUAGAAUCAGGGACGCCAGAUAUUUCAAUCUGAAACGUGGAAGCGCGAACUUAUUUUGUCGUNNNNNNNNNNNNNNNNNNNNNNNNNNNNNNNNNNNNNNNNNNNNNNNNNNNNNNNNNNNNNNNNNNNNNNNNNNNNNNNNNNNNNNNNNNNNNNNNNNNNNNNNNNNNNNNNNNNNNNNNNNNNNNNNNNNNNNNNNGGCUGGCCCACAUGUCAGUGACCCAUAGGCAGGUGCCUUUAAGGCACCGAAGCAGCAUCCACCCUGACACGACCCUGGUCUGCCUGGUGCGCCUACAUUUGAGAAUGCAAAGGAAUCUUCUUUCAUUUGCAAACAAAUCUGUAUGUAUUACCAUGCCCGUGUUUUCCUUGCAAUACUUAGUCAUUCGAAACAAGAUACUCCCUCCGUUCACUUUUGUAAGUCGUUUCAGACAACUUAAAAUGAACUGUUUUGCGCAUUGUCUGAAAUGUCUUCAAGGUCUUAUAAAAGUGAACAGAGGGAGUACAAUAAAUUAAUUAAUGAGGAGUUAUUUGAAAAAAAAUCAAAACGGUAUCCACGCUAACGUGGAUUAGAGUGUGUGUCACAUAAUUAGUUAUUUGAAUUAGAGUGUGUGUCACGUAGCGAUCUCCAAUUCUAACGUGGAUUUCGCAUUUCACUGUAUCCACACUACUUUUUAAAUACAAAUUCAUAUGUAUAUGAUGAACACCAUGGUAGUGAGAAAAAUUAUGGAUGGAUUCAAACAUAUGACCUACAAAAAAGCACAACGAAUUGAGUCAAUGUCAACUUUUCGAAACUUAGUAUGGCACGAAUUCGAAAUAAUUACCCGUAUGCAUGGUCCUUGGUUCAAAUCUUACAAUGUACACCAAAAUUGAAACAUCGAUAUUAAGUCUCGUACUAUGUACAUUGAAAUGUUGUUUUUAGCCCCCCCCUCCCGCACACAUGCUACAUACUUCCUGUAUCGGUCAAUCUUCCUAUCCUAACCACCUUAGGAAGCUAUCGGUUUCCAACACACGUUCAUUCUUUCUCUCCAUGUUUCAAUCUCUAAGUCUCUCAACUACACAACCCCUUUUCCCACUCUGUUACCAAAUGUAUUUACCUCACACACCCGCCAUUGCACCCCAUGCCGAGCUCUCUCUCCCCUCUCCCUCUCACCCUCUCACGCUAAAUACAUGCAUUGCCUAUCUAGCCCCUCAACCUCUCGUGCACAUGCACGCACAUUGUAUAUCUAGGUCACUCCCUCGAGACUGUCUCACUUUCUUCCGCACGGUGGGCCACACUCGCUCAAUCUCACUCUCUUUAUCCGAGUCUCGUUUAACCUCAUUUUCUUUCACACACAAAUGAUAUAUCUCCCUAUUCGGGCCUUGAUCGACACACUCUAUACUCUCUCACACAGAUUGUCUAUCUAGGUCAGUCCAUCCAAGCCGUCGCCACUCUUUCGACCUCAUGGCGGGCCACGCUCACUCAAUCUCUCUCUCUCUCUCUCUCUCUGUAUGUCUUGAUUAACCUUGCUAUUUCUCGGACAAAAACGAUAUAUCACCAUGUUUGAGCCCAAUUCGACCUAUUCACAUUGUAUACUCUCUCAUGCACAUUGUCUAUCUAGGUUACUAUCUCCAACCCGUCUCACUCUUUCGAUCGCACAACAAUCCUAUGUGAUCGAUUGAUCUUGCUUCCUCCCACGCACAAAAUAUAUCUACACGUCUGUGACUGGAUCAUACCUCAAGCUCUAUCUUACAGCCCUCACCCUUGCCAAAAGCUCAAUCAGACAAUAUCUCUCCAGAGCAUAUAUAUCUGUUCCAUGAAUGUCGGACCACACUCACUUUGUCUCUCUAUCUAUAUGUCUCUCGAUUGACCUCGCUUUCUCAUACUGUAUCUUCCACGCAUUGAAGCUAGUACCUCUCCAUCCCUCGCAAAGCCGGAGCUAUUUACAUUGCGAGGGGCACUCCAACCUUGGAUUAAUUUGUGUAGGCAUUUAUUUCGGUUGGUUUAGAUUAUAUUUUCAUAGCAUUCGGCCCACAACUACUCCAAACACCGUUGCAACCCCCGCAACUCCCCUAGUUGAUUUCCCUCUGGCUCGCUCAUCGCUCUCUCGCACGUCCUUUCUCGCCUUCAACGUUGCACCAUGGUAUUAUUGCAAAAAACUAUGUUGUUCUCUUUAAUUAUUAUAAAUAAGCUACAAAACUACACACCGAUAGUCCACUUGGAAUGGAACAAAUUUCGACCAACAAAUUAAAGUGCUACAAACUACACACCGAGGGUCCCAUAUCUCAUGAAACAAAUUUGGACCCAUAUACAAAUUAAAAAAAUAAAGGACGAGGAUCGAACAUGCGACCGGGCCUUCAAGCCGCACGUCAAUAGGCAACAUACGUAGAACAACAAUGUUUGUUGUACCCCCCCCUUUGUUCACAUAAUGUUUUUAUAUUACCAAAACCUAUUUAAUGGACAACAUUGUCAGGGGGAUGAACCAUGGGAAGGCAACGAAACCCGGAUCCUCUUCAAAAAUAGUGGGGCCCGCAUCGCCCCUCAAAACCGGCGCGCGCCCGGCCGGGUCGCUCGACCCGGCAAGGCCCGUAGCCUGGCCAAACUCUCCGAACCGGCAAGGUACAUUGACCCGGACUCAGCAACUGGCGCAAGGCGGCCGAACCCGACACGGCCAAGGCUUCCCCAACAAACCAACCCCUCCCGUGGCGUGCGCCGCAAUCCAGCCACGGGUCAAGCUUCCGUCUCAUCCAGGUCAUACGAUGGUACGAGACCUCAAUCACCGAUGACCAAGACAACAGUGUUUCCACCCAUGCCUAUGGUCAGCCGGAGCGUGGCAACAGUGCCCCUUACCUACCCACUGACCAGGGCUGGCGUGGCAACAGUGCUUUCGCCCUCACCGCUGACGACAACAAGCGGCAACCUGACAGAGAGCACCGCACAUGACUCGACUCAGACACGCCCUGAUGAUCGACAAGACAGCGCACAGUCCCCCUAGGCACGCGGGGCCCGCACCUAGGGGAACCCGACAAACCACAAGCCCUCAAGCGGGACCCAGCCCGGUAUCCCGUACACUGACAAUACGGACCCACCGACUCGGCAUAUUACCAUUGUAACCCCGGGCAGGUUGAUAUAUAAACCCCCCCUAGGAGCACACACCUACAGAGACAUGUAACAUACACGAGGCAGCGUACGAGAAAUAGACACAAGGAAAAGAACGAGCAAGCAUAGGACUCGCCACCAAAACCGCAAUACCGGAGAGAUGGAGCAGCCCAAGUCUUGGCCAACUUCCUUCCUCCUCAUACAGCUCCAGGAGCAACAUUGUACUAUCGACCAUCCAACUACACUCGGCAGGACUAGGGGUAUUAUCUCUCCGGAGAGCCCCGAACCUGGGUGUCAGAUUUCAGGUUCCGACAGGCCCUUGAGGUUCGAACAUUGGGGUGCGCACGAAGAUCUCUCCUCUACCAACUCACAUCUCAUCUCCGCGCAAAGGAUCUAGGCUAUACGAUGAACAACACAAGAGACACAAGGUUUAUACUAGUCCGGGCCACCAUUGUGGUGUAAUACCCUACUCUAGUUUGUGGUGUGUGGAUCGCCUCAGAGGCUGAUGAUGAACAAUACAAGGAAAGAACAACCUCGCGAGGGGCUGUUCUUGAGCUGGUGCGAUGAACUGCUUGGGAGAGUUCAGUCGCCUCUUGGAUGCCUACCCGAUCUCUAGAUGCCUCUACUCUGUGGUGGCUAGUACUAUUUAUAGAGGGAGGCCCUGGGCCUCUUCCCAAAUAAUGAGCGGGAAGGGCGCCAACAAUUGGCCAUUUUAAAGGGGAACAUCUAGUACACUUAUCCUGACUGAAGUUGGUCUUCGGCUGCCAAAGGCUCUGACGAUGAUUCCGUCCUGGGCUCCAUGAUGACCUCCAUCUUGCCGUUCUGCUGGUCUUGGUCUUGUUGCAUCGAAACAUAACCUUUGCCUGAUGCCUUUGCCUGUGCUUGCCCCCUUUGCACCAAAGGGGAAACAAGGACACUGCGCGGGCUGGCGCCCGCCUGGCGCCCGCCUGGUCUCGAUCGUCAUGGCUUGCAUCACGGGCUCCUCGCGAGGUGCCCUGCCUUGAUCUCUCCGCCUCCUCGCGAGCCUGCCUGAUGAGGCUGCGCCUGAGGAAGCUUCCUGUCGUCCGCCCCACGAGGCUAGGACCCUCGCGAGGGUCUUGAGCUCCAGUUGAUGAAGAUGGGCCGCACUGGGCCCCCUACUUGAGCCACGCCGUAGGCCGCAGGCAGGCAAGUCUGGGGACCCCCGUUCCCAGAACGCCGACAGUAGCCCCCGGUCCCAAGGCGCGCCCGAACUUGGCUUAGCAGAGAAGCGAAGGGGCAAGUGUGAAGCGCCGCGGGCCCCAAUAGCCUGCGGCCUUGGGCGCCGCGUGGCGAUUGAUUGGACGUGGCGUCCUUGCUUCCCCACGACGGCUCGGCAACCGCAUGACUUGACAAGUCCCUGCAUGCAAAAAUGGGUCAUGAUUACCUGUGAUCGUGGAGGCCGGCGGUUGGCCUUCUCCGGCUAUAAGUAUGGGACGGCGUGAGCCCUUUCAGCCCAUUCCUUCCUGCUACUCCUUUCUCUCCAUCCCGGCUACUCGCCAUCCCCAUGGCGCCGCCGAAGAGGUUCUCGGUCGCGGAGAAGGGAAAGGCCUGUCAGGAAGGGCCUGACUCUCCUCCGACCAAGCAUGGCCAUGACCGCCCUCGCAAGCAUCCCGCGACCCCUGUAGUGGCUUCCCGCGGUCGUGGAGGCGGUCCUCUGCGCGGCGAAGAGCGCCUGAUUGUUGAUGGGAGGCACGUCGUGGCUGCGCGACCCCCGAGGCCGCGCUUCCACUUGGCGGAGGUGCUGCUGGAGUUCAUCGUGUGGUCGGCGGACCCGACCGGCACCUGGCUUCAGCUUCCCCGCUUCUUUGUGGGUGAACUUCCGGCCGGCACUCCUGGCGGCCUCUAGCUCCAGGCGGACGGUUGCUGCAGCAGGGCCUCCUGGGCUUCACUGGAGGUCUCCGUCGCCGGGAAUGCGGCUCUGACCCACGGCUGGCAAACGUUUGCCCGCGCGCGUGGCCUGAGCUGGUGGUGUGCCCUGCACUUCAAGUUCGACGGUGAUGCCACCCUCUAUGUGAGGGUGUUCGGGGAAGACGGUCGCCGUGCUGGGUGCUGCCCCGAAGACGACGACCGCGGCCGUGUGCCCAGCCCCGGCGUUGAUCAAGGUGAAGAUGGCGGCAAGCGCGCGGUCAGUGGCGCUUGGGGCUCGCCGAGCUUCGGCGAUUCUCCUUCGGACAACCGCUCCUCCAGCGGUGGCCGCGACCAGCCCCCGCGCCGUCGCGCCCGCCUGGGGGAAGGUAGCGGGUCAGUCCGCCGCCGCACCUCAAUGAAGCAGGAGGAGGGAUCUGACUGAGCUUCGGAGGCAGUACGAGCCCUCGCUGCGAGUUGGUGCCGAGCAAGUCAUGCCUAUUUUGUUUUUCUUCCUUCCCUAUGCAAAAUGGAAAGUAGUAUAGGGCCCCGUGGGGGCAUGUCGAACUGUUGCUGUUAACCAUCAUGUUGUUUCCGGUAUUUCUGUGCUGUGUUCCUGUGCCGCAUGUCCGUGUGUGAGAACUACUUAGCUCGGGGAGGCUUGUCGUGGUCCUUGCCUCCUGAGGCCAGGGGCCUUGCCGCACGCUUCAUGUCCUGCAAGGAUUAGUCAGGAGGGGUAGCUUUCAGUCUCGGUUGUGGGGGCGACCGACCCAGGUCCUGUGUUCGUGUUGCGAUGCCCGUGGGGCACGGACUGAGAGGGGUGCUCCCGCGGCGGACUCGGAUAGGGAAGCUUUAAAUGACCAGGGCAGAAAACAUUCGUGAGGGUUCCCGCGUAACUCCCUCACGGGACUUGCGCGAGAGAAAACAAAGCAAAUGGGCGAAAAAUACAAGGAGUCACAAGCUAGGGAUGGCAACAACUCCAAUAAAACUUCAAAUAGGAACGAAAAAGCCAGCUGCAGAAAGCAAAUGAAAAAGCCGCGUACGGCACCUAAUCUAGUCUUCGACGUCUUCUCACUAGCGCGGAGCUAAGUGCUGCCACUGGGCGUGGGCGGGAGCCCCCGAGGCCCGAGGGCGGCGCUCCGGAGACUCCGGGGCGUGUACAGCCCCACUCAUUAUUACGUGAGAGUGUCACGGGCGGCGGGCUUCACAGGCAUUCGCCUUCUUCACAGGCACCGGGCCUUUUCCAAAAUGGUAAGCUUCACAAGCAUUGGCCUUCUUCACAGGCACUGGGCCUUUUCCAAAAACGGUAAGCUUCACAGGCAUUGGCCUUCUUCACAGGCACCGGGCAUUUUCCAAAAACGGUAAGCUUCAUAGGCAUUGGCCUUCUUCACAGGCACCGGGCCUUUUCCAAAAACGGUAAGCUUCACAGGCAUUGGCCUUCUUCACAGGCACCGGGCCUUGCUUAUGGAUAGAACCUCCGAAGGUAUUGAAUGUUCCAUGCGUUUGGAACGGGCACCCCCUCUUGGGUCUCCAAGCGCGCGGAGCCAGGCCUAGAAACAUGAACAACCUUGAACGGGCCCUCCCACAUAGGAGAGAGCUUGUGCAACCCUUCCCUGGAGAGGACCCGCCUGAGCACGAGGUCCCCUACCUCAAGGGUCCUGGGGCGGAUGUUGCGGCAGUGGUACUGUCGCAAUGCCUGUUGAUACCUCGCGGCUCGCAGCGUGGCCUCCCGAUGGCGCUCCUCCCCCAGCACGAGAUCCGUCCCCCGCAUGGCAUCCUGUUGCGAUUCGUCGAACGCCAGGACCCGCGUGGAGCGACGCUUGACCUCGUGAGGGAGGACGACUUCAGCUCCAUAGACGAGGAAGAAUGGAGUUUCUCCAUUUGACUUGGUCGCGGUCGUGCGGAUAGACCAUAGCAUAGACUGGAGCUCGUCGUACCAGCCCCUGCCGCAGGCUUCCAGUUUUUUCUUAAAGGUCCUGGUCUUGAGGCCUUUCAACACCUCCGCGUUGGCUCGCUCAGCUUGGCCGUUGCUUCGAGGAUGCGCCACUGAAGCGUAGCAUAUCUGCAUUCCAAGAUUAGCACAUUAUGUUUUAAAGAGAUUGCUGGUGAACUGCAAACGGUUGUCGGUGAUGAUGCAAUUAGGCACCCCGAAUCGGCUCACAAUGCCCUUGAUGAACUUGAUUGUGGAGCCUGCUGGGAUGGUGCAGACAGCUUCCACUUCAGCCCACUUGGUGAAUUUGUCGAUGGCGACGUAGAGGUAGCGAUAGCCCCCUGGCGCCCGUGGAAACGGGCCCAGAAUGUCCAGCCCCCAAACCAAGAAUGGCCAUGAGAGGGGUAUGGUCUGCUGGCCCUGAGCCAGCUGGUGGAUUUUCUUGGCGUGGAAUUGGCAGGCUUCACAGGCCUUCACCAGCUCGACGGCGUCGUUGAGUGCUGGGGGCCAGUAAAACCUGCUGCGGAACGCUUUGCCAACGAGGGUUCGUUAUGAUGAGUGGUGCCCAUAGUCUCCACCGUGUAUGUCUGCCAACAGCUCCCUUCUUUGUUCCCUGGAAAUGAAACGUAAGGACACGUCAUUUGGUCGCUUACGGUAGAGCUCUCCGUCCUGGAUGCAGUAGGCCGUGGCCUGUCUCGCCACAUGCUCCGCAUCCUCCUCCUUCUCCGACAGGGUCCCUCGCAUCAAGUAGUCCUUGAACUCUGCGGUCCAGCAUCCUUCCUAAGGUUCCAGCGCCAGGAGAAAGUGUGCCCCUGGGGCCGGGCCACAGGCCGGGGCCCUCGAGGCGGGCGGCUGAGGGAGCUCCUCCCUAGGUUGUGCCGUGCUUGACAGCGAUGGUGCCGCCGAAGGUUUGAAGAGUCGUUCCUUGAAGACGCCAGGCUCCUGAGGCAGCCACCUGGAUGCCCUCUUGGCGAUGUCAUCGGCCUCUUGGUUGGUACCGCGGGGCACAUGCUGUAACUCCAACCCCCAAAACUGUUUCUCCAUCAUGCGGACCUCCGCGAGGUACGCUUCCAUGUGCUCGUCCUUCGGCUCAUAUACCUUGUUGGAGAAGUUGACGAGGAGUUGUGAAUCGGCUUUGAUGGUGAUUCAUUUUACCCCCAAGGCGACGGUUGCCUUCAAUCCCGCUAUCAGGCUCUCGCACUCUGCUAUGUUGUUGGAGACCUUCUCCCCAUGCUAGAAGCAGAGCUGCACGACAUAGUAAAACUUGUCCUGGGUGGGGGAUAUGAGCACUGCGCCAGCCCCCGCACCCUGCCGCGAGAAUGCUCUAUCGAAGUACAUUACCCAACCGUCCGGCGCUUCACUUCCUAGGGAGAGUGACCGGUCCUCGCCCGUUUUGAGCCCUGGUGCCUCUGUCCAUUCUGCCAUGAAAUCUGCGAGCGCAGCUCCCUUAAUGACCUUGGUCGUGCUGAAUUCUAGCUGGAAUGCUUGCAGUUCGAUGUUCCAUUCGGCGACCCUCCCUGCUGAAUUGGGGCUCCUGAGUACCCUUUCCAGGGGGUAGGCUGAGACGACCUUGAUGGGAUGGUCUUGAAAGUAGUGCCACAGCUUGCGCGAGGCCACUAACAGUGCGAGGAGGAGUUUUUGGGGCAUUGGGUACCGCGCCCUCGCAUCCCGCAGCACUGUACUGACGAAGUACACCGGGUGCUCGACGAUGUUGAGGGUGCUGGCGCGGCCCGCGUCCUCUGGAGGUUGAGGUGCCUCCUGAGGCGGUGUGGCCCUCAGUGCUUGGUCGCCUGAGGGGGCCUCCUCCGCUCCGGGUGCGUUCCCCUGAUGAGGCUGAUCCCUUUCUGCCGUGGUCGUGGUCUUUGCGAGGCCUUCCUGGCCUUGCUCUGCUUCGGCCGGGACUGUGGCUGUGGCCGUGGCCUGGCGCUCCUUUCUAACUGCCACUAGUGCUGCGCUAGAGGAGUAAGGGGUGGCUGCAAGGUAGAGCACCAGGGGCUCCCGAGGGCACGGAGCUACCAUUACCGGGGGGCUAGUAAGGUACCUCUUGAGGUCUUGGAAUGCCUUGUCGGCCUCUUCAGUCCAUUCGAAGGGGCCUUUCUUCUUCAUCAGCUUGAAGAAGGGCAGCGCUGGCUCUCCCAGCUUGGAGAUGAAACGUCCUAAAGCGGUUACACGCCCGGUGAGCUUCUGCAUUUCCUUGAGGGUCUUCGGCGGGCUCAUGUCUUCGACUGCAUUGACCUUCUCUGGGUUGGCUUCAAUGCCCCUGUGGGAUACGAGGAAGCCCAGGAGCUUGCCCGAGGGGAUUCCAAACACACACUUCUCCGGGUUGAGCCGCAGGUCCACUUCACUGAGGCUCGCGAAGGUUUCUUCCAAGUCCUGUAUCAGGGUUUUCGCCUCUCGAGACUUCAGCACAAUGUAAUCGACGUAAGCUUCAGCGUUCCUCCCGAGGUGUCAGCCCAGGGCGAUGUGCAUCAAUUGCUGGAAGGUCGCGCCUGCGUUGCGCAACCCAAACGACAUGCAGGUAUAGCAGUACACUCCACACGGGGUUAGGAAGGCCAUUUUCUCCACGUCCUCCACCGCCAUCUUGAUCUGAUGAUAGCCCUGAGAAGGCAUCCAGGAAGCACAAUAGGUCACACUCAGCGGUAGAGUCGACGAUCUGGUCGAUGCGAGGGAGCGGGAAUGGAUCAUGUGGGCAGGCUUUGUUGAGGUUGGUGAAGUUGACACACAUGCGUUCCUUUCCUCCCUUUUUUGGCACGACAACAGGGUUGGCCAGCCAAUCAGGGUAGCGGACCUUGCGAAUGACUCCGGCUGCUUCUAACUUGCGGGUCUCUUGGACUAUGAAGGCCUGCUUUUCAGUAGACUGCCGCCUUGCGUUCUGCUUCACAGGGCGCACGUUGGGGCACACGUUGAGAUGAUGCUCAAUUACAUCCCUCGGGACCCCCGGCCAGCUGAUUAGGCUCCGAUGCAAACACCGUCCUGUUCGCGCACAGGAACCUGACCAGGGCCCUCUCCUGCUCAGGCUCAAGGUUGGUGCCUAUGGUGAAGGUAGCACCGGCGGGCUCAUCCUCGUCGACUGGUACCUGCUUGGUCUGUGCCUUGUCUUGGCUGAAUAACUGCUUCUUUUUGCCUGGCGCAGCCCCCUUGGGCUCGAGGACAUCUGAGCUGGCAGGUUGCGCCACUGCGGCAGUCUUGAAAGCAAGCUUGAGCGCCUGCAACGCAUCCCCGGUGUUUCUAGACAUGGUAAGGACGCCGUUGCUCCCGGGCAUCUUCAUGAGGUUGUACACCGGGUGAGUCGCAGCCAUGAACCUGGCCAAGGCUGGGUAGCCAAGGAUGGCGUUGUACGGGAGACUGAUGGGGGUGAUGUCGAAGUCGAUCAGCUCCGUGCGGAAGUUGUCGUAGGUGCCGAAGGUCACCGGGAGGCGGAACUGUCCUAGGGAGCCAGUGGAACCGCCUCCGACGCCCGAGAAGGGCCUGCUGGGCUGAAGCCGCUCUGGCGGCACGUGGAGGAGGCUGAAGGCUUGCACCGAGAGCACGCUGAGGCCAGCACCACCGUCGAUGAGGGUCCUGGUGAUGGCCACCUGGCAGAUGGUGGGGGUGCAUAGUAUAGGGAACGCGCCCGAGCAGGCUGGGUUGGAGGGGUGAUCAUCCGAGCUGAAGGUCAGAUCGGCCUUGGGCGCCACCCAGCCCGNNNNNNNNNNNNNNNNNNNNNNNNNNNNNNNNNNNNNNNNNNNNNNNNNNNNNNNNNNNNNNNNNNNNNNNNNNNNNNNNNNNNNNNNNNNNNNNNNNNNNNNNNNNNNNNNNNNNNNNNNNNNNNNNNNNNNNNNNNNNNNNNNNNNNNNNNNNNNNNNNNNNNNNNNNNNNNNNNNNNNNNNNNNNNNNNNNNNNNNNNNNNNNNNNNNNNNNNNNNNNNNNNNNNNNNNNNNNNNNNNNNNNNNNNNNNNNNNNNNNNNNNNNNNNNNNNNNNNNNNNNNNNNNNNNNNNNNNNNNNNNNNNNNNNNNNNNNNNNNNNNNNNNNNNNNNNNNNNNNNNNNNNNNNNNNNNNNNNNNNNNNNNNNNNNNNNNNNNNNNNNNNNNNNNNNNNNNNNNNNNNNNNNNNNNNNNNNNNNNNNNNNNNNNNNNNNGGUUUCUUGGCGCUUGGAGGCGGUGCCGAUCUGGCGGGUGAACGGCUUGACGUGGCAGCUCGAAGGUGGUGCCUGUGAGCCGCCGAGGAGAGCCGCAACGACCGAGGGCACUGGCGCGGUGUAAUGGGCGAGGAAAAGGUCACAUAGUUCCCCCUAGGAGGUCACAGAAGCCGUCAGUAGGUGGAGCAGCCACAUGCGAGCAACACCGGAGAGGGCCACGGGAAACCAGUUGGCCAUCACCCUUUCAUCGCCCCCGGCCUUGAGGACGGCUUCCUCGUACGCCAGCAGGAAAACCAGCGGGUCCGUCGUGCCGUUGUAGUGCGGCGGCAUCUCUGGCUUGAACUUGCGUGGCCACUGCACCUGUCGCAGGGCGGGGGCCAAGGCCCGGAGCCACCUGGCCCCAACACUGGCAUCAGCUGCCGGAGCGGGCGGCGCGUUGUCCGCCAUGUGGGCGAAACCCGAUGUUGGCGGAGAACGGGCCAACGGAAGGGAGAGCUUUGGUGCUCCCCUACCUGGCGCGCCAAAUGUCGGAUUUCGGGUUCCGGCAGACCCUUGAGGUUCGAACACUGGGGUGCGCGCGAAGAUCUCUCCUCUACCAACUCACAUCUCAUCGCCGCGCAAAGGAUCUAGGCGAUACGAUGAACAACACAAGAGACGCAAGGUUUAUACUAGUUCGGGCCACCGUUGUGGUGUAAUACCCUACUCUAGUUUGUGGUGUGUGGAUUGCCUCAGGGGCUGAUGAUGAACAGUACAAGCAAAGAACAACCUCGCGAGGGGCUGUUCUUGAGCUGGUGCGAUGAACUGCUUGGGAGAGUUCAACCGCCUCUUGGAUGCCUACCCGAUCUCUAGAUGCCUCUACUCUGUGGUGGCUAGUCCUAUUUAUAGAGGGAGGCCCUAGGCCUCUUCCCAAAUAAUGAGCGGGAAGGGCGCCAACAAUUGGCCAUUUUGAAGGGGAACAUCUAGUACACUUAUCCUGACUAAAGUUGGUCUUCGGCUGCCAAAGGCUCUGACGAUGACGCCGUCCUGGGCUCCACGAUGACCUCCAUCCUGCCGUUCUACUGGUCUUGGUCUUGUUGCACCGAAAUGGUAACCUUUGCCUGAUGCCUUGGCCUGUGCUUGCCCCCUUUGCACCGAAGGGGAAACAAGGACACUGCACGGGCCGGCGCCUGCCUGGUCUCGAUCGUCAUGGCUUGCGUCAUGGGCUCCUCGCGAGGUGCCCUGCCUUGAUCUCUCCACCUCCUCGCGAGCCUGCAUGAUGAGGCUGCGCCUGAGGAAGCUUCCUGUCGUCCGCCUCGCGAGGCUUGGUCCCUCGCGAGGGUCUUGAGCUCUAGUUGUUGAAGAUGGGCCGCACUGGGCCCCCUACUUGAGCCAUGCCACAGGCCGCAGGCAGGCAAGUCUGGGGACCCCCGUUCCUAGAACACCGACACUGGGUAUGUCUGGCGUCCCGCGCCCGCUCAUGCCAAUCUCGCAUCUGGAGCCCACCAGCGCCCUCGAGCCUCCUCCUCUCUUUAGCCACCCCUUGGCAUCUGUCAUGCGCCCACCACGACAGUUGGCGCCCACCGUGGGGCAGCUCGAGGAGCUGGCUAGGAGCAUGCUUCAGGCGGGGCCCUUCUCAUACACCGACGAGUCCGUCGCACUGGCAGACGACGUCGUCGGUGCGCUUGCCGCCUCCUUCGCCGCGCUGCGCAUCUCCGAUGCGUUCGCGGACGACGAGUACCCCAGCGAGGUGCUCAGCUACUCCGACUCUCCGCUCUCCCUCGGCGGUGGCAUUGCCGCCGGGGCAAUGGAUGUCCAUGUGGAGAUUUAUGUCACCAGCGACGGCGCCUCCUCCUCGUCGAGCAAGACGAGGAAGGCCACGGAAGCCAGAGCCGCUGCGGAACGGACCGAGCCGUCCGAUCCGCUGCACGCCGUGAUGUAGAGCCUCCGCAUCCCCAUCGGCACCGAUGUCGACGCCACCAACAUCGCCGAGGCCCGAUCUCAGCUCGAAGAAAAGCGCCAGCAGAUGCUGGACCUGUCCGAGACGCUCGCCGCCACCAAGCGUCGCCUGGAGGCCACGCAGAUGGAGCAUGCCGCCGCCCACGGAUUCGCGCUCUCCGCGGCCGAGCCAAGCCGGGUCAUCGAUGUCUGCACACGGGGAGGAGCGAUCGACCGGGCCCUCGGCACCAUCAAAACCGUCUACGAGACCCCAGUGAAGAACAUGCGCGCUGCGGAGGCAGCCGUGGUCGGCCUCAACCAACUCACGGGUGAGGAGCUGAAAGAGCGUAUGGGGCGGAUGCGCGAGCUCCUCCACACCGACAACACCUAGCAGGAUCGCCUCCACCAGCUCGCCAGGCCGGCGGGGUCCGGCUCCUCCCGCCUUGGCGGACCUGGCGAACUUCUGCACACGGCCUCCUCGCCGCCCGGCGAGGUGGACUCCGGCGAAGCCCGGACUCGGUGCAACCCGGACACCACCGCCACCGACGUCCUGGGCAAUGAGUUCGCAGUGGAGACCGAGCGCGGACCCGGCUAGCAUGGCCGGCGUCCGGCUCCAACCGAACCGGCCCCUCGAGGCCUGGCCGCCAGUCAACUUGGCCCGCGUGCCAUCAACGACGCCGAUGCUCGCCACCGCCUCGAUCAGCUCGCUCGCUCCUUGGAGGUGGAGGAGAGCGGCGCUAUCGGGCCGGUCUGCUUCGGCCCACACAUCCGGGAGGAGCCCUUCUCUAAAGGGUUCAUGCUCCCCCACGACACCCCCAAGUACAACGGGACCAUUAAGCCAGAAGACUGGCUCACCAACUACACCAUGACCAUUGGCAUCACCGGUGCCAAUCGCCGUCUCGCCCUGCGCUACGCACCGCUCAUGCUCCAGGGGUCGGCCCGCACGUGGUUGAACAGUCUGCCGAUGGGCAGCAUCAACGCGUGGGUCGACUUCGAGGAGGCCUGUGUCCGCAACUUCACGGGGACCUACAAGCGACCCGGUCACCCUAGCCAGCUCGCCAUGUGCAUGCAGGGGCCGACAGAGACGGGUCGCGAGUACCUCGCACGCUGGACCGAGCUUUGAAACUGCUGCGAGGGCGUCCAUGAAGUCCAGGCGAUCCAGUACUUCGUCAGCGGGUGCCGAGACGGCACCCUCCUCAAGCACAAGCUCUUACGCUCCGAGCCGGCCACCAUGGCCGCGCUCAUGGUGACGGAGGACAAGUAGGCCAACGCCGACUCUGCCAUGAAGAUCCAGGUGGCGUUGGAUGAAGCCGGCAAGGCGAAGCCGGUUCCUCCCCCAAAGCUGGCCGACGAAAGCAGCCGACAGCAGCAUCACUAGAACAGCAAGCGCAAGGCUGACCAGCCGGCGCAGCGUCACGACAACCGGCUCGUCGCGGCCGCCGAGCCCGUGGCGGACCCGUUGGCGAAGCACCGACAGAACAGCAAGAUAGCGUGGCAACCCGCCAUGAGUUUCGAAGAGAUGCUCGACGCCCCAUGCAAGCACCACAGCGGCGCAAGACCCUCCACGCACACGCUUCGGUAGUGCGCCAUCACCAAGUGCAUCACGAGGGGAGACGUCCCGUCUCCUUCGGCUCCGGAUCCAGCUCCAGGCGAAGGACAACUACCUCCGCCUUCACCACCGCCCCCUACUGGUGGCGCAAUGCGGAACGACGCCUACCCGAACCAGAACACGGCCUACAUCUUCUUCACCAGCCUCGGCGACGACAAGCGCAGUGAGCACCUUCUUCGGCAGGAGGUGAACACCGUCGUCCCGGCCAAGCCGGAGUUCAUGCAUUGGUCGGAUCGGCCGAUCACCUGGACCCGGGAGGAUCACCCGACAGUCAUGCCGAGUCUGGGUGGAUACGCCCUCGUCCUCAACCCCACCAUUGUCGCGCGGUGCACAUGCAAGUUCUCCCGAGUCCUCAUCGACGGCGGCAGCAGCAUGAACAUUCUCUACCGCAACACGAUGAACAAGCUCGGCCUCUAGGCCGAGGACCUGGAGCCGACUCAGACAAUCUUCCAAGGCAUCGUUCCCGGCCUCUCCUGCUCUCCCAUUGGCCGGUUCUGGCUCGAUGUCCUGUUCGGUGACAGCAGCCACUUCCGGCGCGAACCAAUCUGGUUCGAGGUGGUGGACCUGUCCACCGCGUAUCACGCGCUCCUGGGCCAGCCCGCGCUUGCCAAAUUCAUGGCGGUUCCCCACUAUGCGCUCCUGAAGAUGAAGAUGUCGGGUCCCACGGGCCUGAUCACGAUCACCGGCGAUUACCGCAAGUCCCUGGAGUGCGCCCCAGACGGUACCAAGUUGGCCGAGUCACUGGUCAUUGUCGAGGAGCGGCACUGGCUCGACCGGAUCGUCGCCCUGGCAGGCGAGGCCCCCGCUGCGUCGAUCCCGACCUCGGACCCGGCCGACGAAGCCGCCUUCAAGCCCUCCAAGGAGACCAUGAAAGUGAAUCUCAACCCAGAAGACCCCAGCUGCAGCAAGUACGUUGUCGUAGGCGCCCGCCUCGACAGCAAAUAGGAAGGCGAGCUAGUCGACUUCCUCUGUGAGAAUCGGGAUAUCUUCACAUGGACCCGCAAGGACAAGCCGGGUAUCCCGAGGAAGUACGCCGAGCAAAAACUUCACGUCUGCAAGGACGCCAAGCCUGUCCGUCAACCCCUACGACGAUUUUCCGAAGAAAAGAGAAGAACCAUUGGUGAAGAGGUCGCCAAGCUUUUGGCGUCCGACUUCAUAAUGGAAGUGUUUCACCCCGAGUGGCUGGCCAAUCCAGUCCUCGUCCUGAAGAAGAACAAGACCCGGCGCAUGUGUAUCGACUACACCAGCCUCAACAAGGCCUGUCCCAAGGAUCCGUUCGUUUUCCCGCGGAUCGACCAAGUCAUCGACUCGACCGCCGGGUGCGAGCUCCUGUCCUUCCUGGACGCUUACUCCGGCUACCACCAGAUCAAGCUGGCCGAUGCCCUGAAGACGUCCUUCAUCACGCCCUUUGGGGCGUAUUGCUACAUCACCAUGUCGUUCGGCUUGAAGAACGCCGGCGCCACCUUCCAAUGCUGCAUGCAGAAAUGCCUGCUGCCGCAACUCAGCUGCAAUAUCCACGUGUACGUGGACGACAUCGUGGUGAAGACCAAGCAGCACCUCACGCUCCUUGACGAUUUGAAGGAAACAUUCGCCAACCUCCGCGAAUACAAGGUCAAGCUUAACCCAGAAAAAUGCGUCUUCGGCGUCCCGGCCGAAAAGCUACUCGGCUUCCUCAUCUCGGAAUGCGGCUUUGAGUUGAACCCGGAGAAGAUCAAGGCCAUCAAGCGCAUGCGCAUGCCGGCUCGGCUGCGUGACGUUCAAAAGUUCACCGGGUGCUUGGCCUCGGUCAGCCGGUUUCUAAGCCGGUUGGGCGAGAGGGCGCUCCCCCUGUACUAGCUGAUGAAGAAGACAAGUCCGUUCGAAUGGAACGACAAGGCAUACGAUGCCUCCCAAGACCUCAAGCGCAUGCUCCCCACCGCACCAGUCCUGGCCACGCCGACCGACAAGGAGCCGCUAUUGCUCUACAUUACCACGACCUCGCGGGCGGUCAACACGGUGCUGGUGGUCGAGCGACCAGAGAAGGGCAAGAUCCAGGCCGUCCAGCGCCCAUUCUACUACCUGAGUGAAGUGCUCUCCAUAUCCAAGCAGAACUACCCGCACUACCAGAAGAUGUGUUACGAUGUGUACCUCACCGCCAAGAAGCUGAAGCAAUACUUCCAAGAGGAUGUCAUCACCGUCGUCAGCACGGUGCCUAUCGGAGAAUUCAUCAGGUGCCGGGACGCCUCUGGCCGGGUCGCCAAGUGGGCGAUCCAGCUAGCAGGCCACACCAUCCUCUACGAGCCCCGCACCACGAUCAAGUCUCAAGCCCUGGCCGACUUCCUGGUCGACUGGACCGAGACCCAGUACCUGCCGCCGCCUCCCGACUCGACGCAUUGGUGCAUGCACUUCGACUGGUCCAAGAUGCGACUCGGCUUAGGGGCCGGCAUCGUACUAUCGCCCCCGAAGGGCGACCGACUCCGCUACGCACUCCAGAUCCACUUCGACGCCUCCAACAACGUCGCCGAAUAUGAAGCCCUUGUGCACGGCCUCUGGCUUGCCAAGGAACUCGGUAUCUGGCGCAUCCUGUGCUACGGCGACUCGGACCUGGUGGUGCAGUAGUGCUCCGGCGAGUGGGACGCCCGUGACUCAAACAUGGCAAGCUACCGCUUCCUCGUCCAGGAGCUGUCCGGAUCCUUCGAGGGCUGCGAGUUCCUCCAUGUCCCGCGCGCGGAGAAUGAAGCAGCCGACAUGCUUGCCAAGAUUGCCUCGUCACGACAAGCCACCCCGUCCGGCGUCUCCCUCGAGCACCUGCACAAGCCGUCCGUCAAGCCAUCGCCGAACUCCGAGUCCAUUCAUGUUCCAGACGACCCGGCCGCACCCCAAGCCGGCCCGGGGACUGCUGAACCCGGCCCGGGGGCUGCUCAGCACAACCCGACCACCAUCGACCCGGACCCGGCCGUCGCCAUCCCCGACCCGGGGACUGCUCAACCCGACUCGGGAGCUGCCGACUCAGAACCCACCCUGGUGGCCAUCUUCGCCGUGGUGGCAGCUCCAUCUUGGACCCUCCCAAUAUCAGAAUUUCUGGAGAACAGGGUUCUCCCUAUGGACGAAACCGAAGCUCGGCAAGUGCAGCACCGGGCGUCCACCUACAGCAUCAUCAACAACAAGCUCGUCAAGCGCAGCUCCACCAGCAUGUUCUAACGCUGUGUCGAGCAGGAGAAGGGCAUCGACAUCCUCCUCGACAUACAUCAGGGCGAGUGCGGGCACCAUGCCGCAUCACGAUCCCUGGUGGCCAAGGCGUUCCGACGCGGUUUCUACUGGCCCACAGCCCUCAAAGACGCCGAGUCGCUCGUCCUCAAGUGUGAAGGGUGCCAGCGCUUCAGCAAUUGCAGCCACUAGCCGGCGUCAGCACUCCGCACCAUACCGAUUGCUUGGCCCUUCGGGGUCUGGGGACUCGACAUGGUGGGACCCUUCAAAACCGCUCGAGGCGGCAUGAUGCACCUACUGGUGGCAGUGGACAAAUUCACCAAGUGGAUCGAGGCAAGACCAAUCAAGAAACUGGACGGGCCAACAACCGUCCGGUUCAUCAAGGACAUAGCGGUGCGCUACGGCAUGCUGAACAACAUCAUCACCGACAACGGCACCAACUUCGCCAAGGGCGCGUUCGAGCAAUACUGCUCCGUCUCCAGCAUCCACCUUGAGCUGGCCUCCGUUGCGCAUCCGCAGUCGAACGGCCAGGUUGAGCGGGCCAAUGGACUCAUCCUAUCCGGCAUCAAGCCGCGACUCGUCGAGCCACUCAUCCGCUCACCCGGCAGCUGGCUCGACGAGUUGCCGGCCGUUCUCUAGAGUCUUCGCACCAUGCCGAAUCGGUCGACCGGGUUCACCCCAUCCUUCCUCGUCUACGGAGCCUAGGCCAUCAUCCCGACCGACAUCAAGUUCGACUCGCCAUGCAUCGUGAUGUACACCGAAGCCGAAGCCAGAGAAGCCCGCGAAGAUGGCGUCGACCUGCUCGAAGAAGCACGUCUCCUGGCGCUUAGCCGCUCGGCCAUCUAACGACAAGGUCUGAGGCACUACCACAGCAAGAAGAUCAAGCCCCUCGCGUUCCGCAAGGGCGACCUCGUCCUCCGACUUGUCCAAGAGCAGGCAUGCCAACACAAGCUGUCCCCUCCAUGGGAGGGCCCAUUCAUCGUGAGCAGGCCUUGCGUGAUCGCAACGCCUACUACCUCAUCGAUGCUCGCAAGUCAUAGAAGCGCAAGAAGGACACCGCCGAUGAAGAAACGACACGGCCAUGGAACGCGGAACUCCUCCGCCCGUUUUACAGUUAGCCAUACGAAUGUAUGUAUCGUCGCCUUUUGUAAAUGCAUGAAACCAUGGGGUCCCCGAACGAGACUCGGGGCUAUCUUUUGCCGACCAAUUUAUUGUGUCCCUAUUUUUUCUGCAUCACUAUACCACUGAACCCGGCCACCGGUCCGACUCGCUUGACCCGGGGGCUCGGUGGCUGGCCGGCUCGAUCGCCACCCUGCCGCCUUACUUGGUGAUUCGUAAUAAAAUUUAGGAUGCCGCGGUCCCUCACUUCGCCCUAAAGCCACAGAUCCAGCUUUGGCUGUCGGUUGGCAAGCACAACGGGCCAAAGCUCCUUUACGCUUCAUACACUAAGUCAGAGGCUGUCGGGUCGAUCAACCUGGCCCGCCAUUCAUCAAAUGAACAGCCGCACAACCGGUUGCUCGCCAACCGGCUUUGCCGGAUUGCCGCCAGCCGGCCCAGUGGGUGUUUCGCUCACGCUCAACAUUUUGAAGGACCCAAGUCCUGCGCACUCCUUUCAAAGAAUCGAACUCCUUGUCACGGACCGGAGCCUCAGUCGUCUGACUCGUGGGGGGGAGGUUUGAGAAAGGGAAAGCUCAUGAAAUCGGUCCGAAAAAUGGAAGGCAAAAAAGCAAAGGCACUCACGACAUUUACACAUAGAUAUUUAAACAAAAGGCCCACGGCACGAGUUCUUUACACCCUAAAAAAACCAGUGUGUGGGUGGACCUGCUAAUUAACAAAUUUCACGAAGUGUCUCAGGCAUCUCCAGCGCUGCGUCAUGACAUCGACGGAUCCCCCCUGGCGGCCUCUGGGUCCGUCGAGUCACCGGUGUCCUCCUCGGCAUCUGCCUCACCGUAGAUGCCCGUCUCCUACGAGCCCCCCUCCGGAUCAUGGAGAAGCAAGCCAUAGUCAUCGCCAUCCACGGCCCUGCCAUCUUCCGUCCAUGUAAUGCCCCGAGCCCAGUGCUUUAGAUGCCUUCCUUGUUUUCCGAGAUUCGUCGUGCGAUUUGUUUUGUUCAUUGCAUUCAUCCUUGCAUCAUGUGCAUUGCAUCAUGUCUUUAACCUUUGCAUCUCAACUCAACUAAAUAAAUGGCAUGGAUCUUUGAUCCAUUUAAAUCGAGGGAAUUCACAUGGUGAUUCUCUUUAAAACAUAUCCUCUCGAUAUUUAGAGAGCUAUAGUAAAUAUUCCAAUUAUUUGGAUUUACCGCAAACACACUUACAAAAUAUCCUAAUGCCUUUGUUGUCUUAAUUCUUGAUCUCCAACUUUGCCAUUAUUCUUUCAUCAUCUUCCGGAGCUCCACCAAAAAUCCCAACAUUUUUGGAAACCUCUAAUUCCUAGUCCUUGCUCAAACCUUUUGAAUUAAAUUCAAAUGACUUUGAAUUUAAUUCCUGCAAUCUUGCCACUCCUAUUUUUCAUGGACCGUGCACAUUUUUACGAGUCCGUGGAAAUAAUCCCCAUGCCCAAGUCCCUUCUCUAACCUUUUUCUUUCUUUCCUUUUCUUUCUUUAUUUUUUUUCUCUCUUCUGUCAUGUGUGUGAGGGAGAGAGAGAUUCCAGCCCAGCCCAGCCGACCAUUUGGGUCUCCUGUAGCUGCGGCCCAAGGCCUAGCCGACCCCUCUAACCCUAGCCGCCAGGUAGACCGAUCCCCUCCUCUCACUCGCUCCCUCUCAUCCUCCCACCACCGCCGCCACACACACGCAUCGCACACGAGAGGAGCGCCCGUGCCCGAUCCCCUCAAGCUUGCCACCGGGCCAGGACCUCCUCGCCUGCCUCCUCGUCUACCCGGUGCCAUCGCCUCGUCAGCUCCGUCGCCAGGGGAGGAUCCCCUCGACCCGUUCCCUUCGGCCCCGACUCCGGCGAGCGCCGCCUCGUCGACUCUCCUCCAUGCGAUGCCUCCCCUCUGCUUCUUCGCCCUCGCCUUGUACCCUGCCACCGCAGGAGCUGCUCCGUCCGCCCCAUGCUGGAGCCGUCGUUCCCGCGCUGCUGCCGUUCUCGCGGCAUCGACCUCCCCUUCGGCCUCUGUUGUCGCACCUCUGCGGUUCACGGUUGCCCUCUGCCUCAAGUCCGAGCUCGAGCCCUGCCCGACGCUGCCAUGGAUAGACACCUCGCCUGGAUCCGUCAAGCUCCGCCGCCCCUCUGUUCCUGCUUCCUCUCUAGCGCACCAGCCUCGACCUCCUUCCCUGCGCGUGAGAUGCUCUCCUCCAUCACCCACCUCGCGCCGGCUCCUUCUCCCUCACGCCCGAGCCUUGCCGCUGCCUGCGUCCAUCCACCACUUGCAGCUGCCGGACCAGGACCUCCUCGUCGUGGCUUUGCCUCCACUAGCAGCCUCCUGCUGCCUGUCAUCUCCAUGGCCUUGAGCAGCCCAAGGCCCGGGCGUUCUAGCCCUUGCACAUCACUGUUGACCCGAGGAGACCACCGCCAAGUUCCAUCAAGCCGACCGUGUACGUCUACCGUCACCGUGGGUUUUCAUGAAGUUCGGCUAUAGCACAAAGAUAUGUGCAACUAUGCGGAUUCGCCGAGUACGACUACUCAUGGGACCCGUCAAGUUCAUCUACAUGCAUGUACGACUACACCUGCUGAUGCGUCAAGUACCUUGGAACAUCUACGACUACGCGGACUGUACCACGAUGACCGUGUACCACAACCGUCGACCCAGGAGACAUCGGACGCGUCAAGUCCCUCUUCGAGACGUGUACCACUACUUCCACUACGGUUGCCCUGAAGAUGUUGGAUUCGUCAAGUGCCUCUUCGAAACGAACAUGUACAACUACUUCCACUAUGACCGUUGCGAGAACGUCUACUUCCUCUUCAUUGCACCGAUUUCGAUCCGCCCCGAAAAUGCACGCUUCGAAGGUAUAACCCCGAGACGACCGCCCGUGAACGAAUGCAUGUGUUGAAUGAGAUGCACCGUUUGCACCGUGUCCGAAUUGUCACUCGUUUCCAUGCCACUAACCCGUGGGAACCCGGUAGCCGGGAUCACCCCACCAUCUUGCAUGACUCGCUCACGUCACACUUCUUGUUUGCAUCGGUAUCUCACUCGAGUUAUCGGGACCGGAAUGUUGCCGUGGCACCAUUUUCGUUGUCGUUGCCGUGGCACCAUUUUCAUUAUCGUUGCCGUGGCACCCCUUUUGUUCCGCCAUGGUGACCGGAUGCUCCCUAUCAUGCUCAUGUCAACGUUUUCAUUAAAAUUGCAUAAACUUUCAUAUGUCAUCCGCAUCAUGAUAACAACAUUUAAAUGCUUAAAAUUGUUGUUGCAUUAAAUUACUAAAUGACAUGAGGACUUUCCGGAAUUGUUGUUUGUUGUUUCCGGCCUCAUUUAAACUUGCCUAAAUAGGUGGUUUGCUCAUGCUUCACCUCUUGCCAUGUUAAUCAACAUUUAAUAUUGUUGUGUUCAUAACCGAGAGAGAAACUAAAUAAUUGAUGUGGUGUUUCAUCAAUAUGCAACUCGUUGCAUAUUGAGCUCCACUUAAAUUGUAGUGUUGUUUGCUUCACCUUGCCAUGCCAUGCCUCUUUAAACCGGACAUGCAUCAUAUUUGGUUGUGCAUCAUGCCAUUAUUAUGUGAUGGUUGUUUACCAUGUUGUAUGCUUCUUUCCGUUGCUUCUCUCGUUAGCUUCGGUUUCGUUCCGGAGUUGUGAGGAUUCGUUCAACUAUGUCCGUUUGUCUUCUUCAUGGACUCGUUCUUCUUCCUCGCGGGAUUUCAGGCAAGAUGACCUUUACCCUCGAUAUCACUUCUAUCUUUGCUUGCUAGUUGCUUCGUUCUAUUGCUAUGCUGCGCUACCGAUCACUUGUUUACCAUGCCUCCCAUAUUGCCAUGUCAGCCUCUAACCUUUGACACCUUUCCUAUGCAAACCGCUGUUUGGCUAUGUUACCGCUUUGCUCAGCCCCUCUUAUAGCGUUGUUAGUUGCAGGUGAAGUUGAAGAUUGCUUCAUGAUGGACAGGAUUAUGUUGGGAUAUCACAAUAUCUCUUAUUUAAUUAAUGCAUCUAUAUACUUGGUAAAGGGUGGAAGACUCGGCCUUAUGCCUGGUGUUUUGUUCCACUCUUGCCGCCCUAGUUUCUGUCAUACCGGUGUUAUGUUCCCGGAUUUUGCGUUCCUUACGCGGUUGGGUGAUUUAUGGGACCCCCUUGACAGUUCGCUUUGAAUAAAACUCCUCCAGCAAGGCCCAACCUUGGUUUUAUCAUUUGCCACCUAAGCCUUUUUCCCUUGGGUUCUGCAGACUCAAGGGUCAUCUUUAUUUCAGCCCCCCCGGGCCAGUGCUUGUCUAAGUGUUGGUCCGAACUAGAACCCUUUGCAGCGCCCCCUCAGGGAAACUUGAGGUCUGGUUUUAGUUGUACAGAUUGCUCAUCCGGUGUUGCCCUGAGAAUGAGAUAUGUGCAGCUCCUAUCGGGAUUGUUGGCGCAUCGGGCGGCUUUGCUGGUCUUGUUUUACCAUUGUUGAAAUGUCUUGUAAACCGGGAUUCCGAGUCUGAUCGGGUCUUCCUGGGAGAAGAUGUAUUCCUUCGUUGAUCACGAGAGCUUGUCAUCGGCUAAGUUGGGACACCCCUGCAGGGUAUAAUCUUUCGAAAGCCAUGCCUGCGGUUAUAGGCAGAUGGGAAUUUGUUAAUGUCCCGUUGUAGAUAACUUGACACCAGAUACGAAUUAAAACGCAUCAACCGCGUGUGUAGCCGUGAUGGUCUCUUCUCGGUGGAGUCCGGGAAGUGAACACGGUUUGUGUUAUGUUUGACGUAAGUAGGAGUUCAGGAUCACUUCUUGAUCAUUGCUAGUUUCACGACUGUUCCUCUUGCUCUCUCUCGCUCUUAUUUGCGUAUGUUAGCCACCAUAUAUGCUUAGUCGCUGCUGCAACCUCACCACUUUACCCCUUUCCUUUCCCAUAAGAUUAAAUAGUCUUGAUCUCGCGGGUUUUGAGAUUGCUGAGUCCUCGUGACUCACCAGAUACUAUCACAACAGUUGCAGGUGCCGAUGAUACUAGUGCAGGCGAUGCAACAGAGCUCAGAUGGGAGCUCAACGAAGAUCUUAGUUGUUGCUAUGUUUCGUUUCAUGUUGAUCAGUAGUGGAGCCCAGUUGGGACGAUCGGGGAUCUAGCAGUUGGGUUAUCUUCUUUUCUUUUGGUUUCGUCCGUAGUCGGACUAUGUGUGUACUCUGAAUGAUGUAUGAUUUAUUAUAUGUUCAUUGUGUGAAGUGGCGAUUGUAAGCCAACUCUUUAUCCCAUUCUUAUUCAUUACAUGGGAUUGUGUGAAGAUGACCCUUCUUGCGACAAAACCACAAUGCAGUUAUGCCUCUAAGUCAUGCUUCGACACGUGGGAGAUAUAGCCGCAUCGUGGGUGUUAUAGUCCACUCCGGAUGGAACUCGUCGUGGAAGGCGAACUCGGUGAUGUAGCUGGCCUGGGAGGCAAUCCGGCCGGCCUGCUCCUGCAGCAACUGCUCCGAGACGGCUCGCUGGCCCAUGAGCUCGUCCAGCUGAAGAUCCGGAUGCCAAGACAGCGCAAACCGGAGCGCCAUCUCGGCACUGGCACGGGCGGCGGAGACACGCCACUCGCCAAGACAGUCCGGGCCCGUCUCCAACCAGCGCGUCACGCGCGUGAAGCUGCUCGGCAUGACGGCGCCCGGCCAAAGGGCCAUCGUCAUCGCGGUGCCGGCCCGGGACAGCCGCUCCAUCUGCGUCCCCAGGACCCGCACGCGGGCCUCAGCAGCGGAGAUGAUCUCCGGGAAGGUCCAGGCGUUCCACGGAUCCAUCCCGGACCCAACAACGCUGGUCGGGUCACGCUAAUAGGGGAUGACUUCCUCCGCCAGCCGAUGCAUCUCCGGGAAGGCCCCUGCCACAAAAGAAGAAGCAAGUUAGAAGAAGAGCAACAAGGAAGAAAGGCCGGGUCCCGACCCGGCGAACUACAAGAAAAAGCACUUACUGGAGAAGGACUCUUCCAGGUGCUGCGCCUCAAGCAACGUACCGCGCCGCUCCCGCUCGAUAGCACGGUCGCGCUCCUCGAGCGCCUGCUCCAAUUUGGCCGCCGUGGCAAAGGCCGCCUUCAGCUCAGCGUCCUUGUCUUCGGCCGCCUUCUCGGCUGCCUCGCGGCGGCGGGCUUCGUCCUCACGGGCCCCCUCAGCCGAGACGACCUGCCCCCGCAGGCGUUCCACCUCGUCUUGGAGCCGGCCCUUGUCGUCGGCCAGAUGGCCGCGCUGCUGGUCCGCCUCCACCAGAGCCCGCUGCGCCUCCGCGACCUUGGCGGCUUCCGCCUUGAGAAGCUCCACCUCGGCCUCGAGGCGGCUUUUGUGACCCGCCAGCUGCUCAUGCAGCCGGUUGGCCUCGUCAAGAGACCGCUGGGCCACGGCCGCCUCCGCCCUCGCCUGCGCCGCCUUGACGCAAAGACGGCCGGUGUCGGCAACAAGCUGGUCGUAAUGAUGACCGGCCUGGAGCAGCCGAGUCCGCCAGGACAGCACCUCGGCUGUGAAAAAGAAGGAUUCAAUAGAAGAAAAAAGCAAGACGAAAGAUUUGGCCCAAUUGUUACACAAUUGGCCCGUAUUUCGGGGGCUACUCCCAGUGGGUGCGCUAGCGCGCCCCCACUAAAAAAGAGCACAAGAGUACCUGCGGUGACGCGGAGCUCCUCCUCCUUGGCGGCAAGCUGCUCCACGAGCUCCCGGUGCUUUCCCAGGAGACGGUUGUAGGCGGCAACCCGGAAGGCGUCAAGAUGCCGAAGAAAUCAAAAGUCAAAAACAAGGCCAACACUCUAAAGAUUCGACCCAAUUACUAUGUAGUUCGCCCGACGGGGGCUACACCCAGUGGGUGCACUGGUGCGCCCCCACAAAGAAGAAAUUACGAGGAAGCAAGAAGAGUUACCAGCACGGCAUGCUCCAGGUCGCGUGUCCGCUCCACCUCGGCCUGGGCAAAGGCCUCAAGCCGCUCCGUUCGGCCUCGCAGGCAGCGACUGACGGCGUCCAGUGCCGCCUGCUCCUGGGUCUGGGGCCCGAAGCCAGCGGCGCCCCCGCUCCACGCCGGCUGCGGCACGGCAGCUCAGCGCCCUUCCUGCCAGGGCACCAAGGCGUGCCCCUCGCUGGCCGCUUGCGACGCGGCCAUCACCUCCUCUGACACCCCACCCGGCACCGACAACGACGACUCGGACGCCGGAACGCCCUGCAUCGCCACCAUCGGCCCAGCUGCCGGGGUGGCCUCCGGCACCACCGCCCGCGGUGCCUCCUCCAUAGCUGGUGGCGCUUCCGAUGCUGCCGCCCGCAGCGCCUCUUCCAAGACGAUGCUGGCUCCACCACCAUCAGCCCCCGCGCGCUCGACCACGUCGGCCUGCGGCGGGGUAUCGCCCCCACCUCCACGACCUCCUAGUCGAGGAUCACCACCUCAGCCCGGCCUCCACGGCCGCGCUCCCUCACCGACGACGGCUCAAAGACCGUCGCCGCCACCACCGUGCCCUCCGGCAUCUCGCGCCAGGCCGGCUCCACGCCGGAUCACACCCAUGCCACCGCCGCGUUGGUCCAAGCCUGGACUGACGCCGCCUCUAGCUCCGCCUCGGCCCGGUUCCUGUCCCGCCAGGCCAAGGCCUCGGUGUCGUUCGUGUCUAGGAUGAGGUCCAAGUCAGCCCAUCCUUCUGCCUCGCCCUGUUCGGCGAGAUCGGACCGGCUCCUGCGGAACGCGGCCCCUUCGGAGACCGCGGCCUCCGCCGCCGCCCUCGGCAGCGCGAUUGGCGACCUAAAGAAGACAGAAUGAGCAAAAAAGAAGCAAGACUAGCUCGAAAAAUCUAGGCGCAAACAAGAAAUGAAGCUUACGCCGUCAAGACCAGGACUGGGGUUGGCCUCCCGUGCCCGCCAACGCGCUUCUUCUUGGCCGGCCUCCCAGCCACCGCCGGGUUCGCCGUGCACUGUGGGGCCCGGGGUCGCGGCGCGACGCUGUAUUUCCCAUGCAGGCGGCUCGGUGCCGCCCCAUGCGAGGACCCGGCUCCGCCCGCGUCGCCGCCUCCCCCGCCCAACGCCACUACACCAACAGCCGGCGUCAGCAUCGCCCGCGCCGUGGCAUGAUCAGCAACUCAAGACACAUGAAGAGAAAGAAAAGACGCGGAACUUACUCGUGCGACGCCCAUCGCCGACGCCGGACUCGGUCACCUCCUCCUUGCCAGGAGCCGCGGGAUCCUCUGGCGCCACCGGCGCUGAUACAUCUCGAACGUAUCAACUUUUCCAAACACUUUUGCCCUUGUUUUGGACUCUAACUUGCAUGAUUUGAAUGAAACUAACCCGGACUGACGCUAUUUUCAGCAAAACUACCAUGAUGUUGUUUUAUGUGUAGAAAAGAAAAGUUCUCAGAAUGUCCUGAAAAUCCACGGAGGCACUUUUUGGAAAAUAUAAAAAAUACUGGGAAAGAAUCAAGACCAGGGGGCCCACACCCUGUCCAGGAGACAGGGGGGCGCGCCCCCUCCUCCUGGGCGUGCCCCCUCCUCCUGGGCGCGCCCCCUAUCUCAUGGGCCCCCUGGAACGCCACCGACCUCAACUCCAACUCCAUAUAUUCACGUUCAGGGAGAAAAAAUCAGAGAGAAAGUUUCAUCGCGUUUUACAACACGGAGCCGCCGCCAAGCCCUAAUCUCUCUCGGGAGGGCUGAUCUGGAGUCCGUCCGGGGCUCCGGAGAGGGGGAUUCGUCGCUGUCGUCAUCAUCAACCAUCCUCCAUCACCAAUUUCAUGAUGCUCACCGCCGUGCGUGAAUAAUUCCAUCAUAGGCUUGCUGGACGGUGAUGGGUUGGAUGAGAUUUACCAUGUAAUCAAGUUAGUUUUGUUAGGGUUUGAUCCCUAGUAUCCACUAUGUUCUAAGAUUGAUGUUGUUAUGACUUUGCUAUGGUCAAUGCUUGUCAUUAGGGCCCGAGUGCCAUGAUUUCAUAUCUGAACCUAUUAUGUUUUCAUGAAUAUAUGUGUGUUCUUGAUCCUAUCUUGUAAGUCUAUAGUCACCUAUUAUGUGUUAUGAUCCGACAACCCCGAAGUGACAAUAAUCGGGAUACUUCUCGGUGAUGACCGUAGUUUGAGGAGUUCAUGUAUUCACUAUGUGCUAAUGCUUUGGUCCGGUUCUCUAUUAAAAGGAGGCCUUAAUAUCCCUGAGUUUCCACUAGGACCCCGCUGCCACGGGAGGGUAGGACAAAAGAUGUCAUGCAAGUUCUUUUCCAUAAGCACGUAUGACUAUUUAUGAAAUACAUGCCUAUAUUACAUUGAUGAACUGGAGCUAGUUCUGUGUCACCCUAUGUUAUAGCUAUUACAUGAGGAAUCGCAUCCGGCAUAAUUAUCCAUCACUGAUCCAUUGCCUACGAGCUUUUCACAUCUUGUGCUUCGCUAAUUUACUUUUCCGUUGCUAUUGUUACAAUCACUACAAAAACCCAAAAACUAUUAUCUUUACUUUUGCUACCAUUACUUUUAUUAUCAUACUACGUUUCUACUAAAUACUUUGCUACAGAUAUUAAGUUAUCCAGGUGUGCUUGAAUUGACAACUCAACUGCUAAUACUCAAGAAUAUUCUUUGGCUCCCCUUGUGUCGAAUCAAUAAAUUUGGGUUGAAUACUUUUCCCUCGAAAGCUGUUGCGAUCCCCUACACUUGUGGGUUAUCAAGACUAAUUUCUGGCGCCGUUGUCGGGGAGCAUAGCUCUAUUCUUAGAGUCACUUGGGAUUUAUAUCUGUUGAUCACUACGGAGAACUUGAAAGACGCUAAAACCAAUAUUUUGCGCUCAACUACGAGGGGAGGUAAGGAACUGCCAUCUAGCUCUGCACUAGAUUCUCCUUCCGUUAUGAGUAAGCUUGCGACACCUAAACCUGCUACUGCUAUGAAUUCUGAUAUGUCGCAUGUUAUUGAUGAUGCCACUUCUGCUAUGCAUGAUGAAACUACUUCUGUGCGUGUUACUACUGUGCCACUGGGUGAAUUUUUUGAUGAACAACUUGCUAGGGCUAGAGGGAAUGAAAUUAUUGAAGAUGCUAUUAUUGAUGAUAGUGAUGAUGAAGGUUCUCUGAAUGAUUAUGAAUUGCCUGUUGUUCCUGAGGGUUAUGUUAUGGAUGAAGAAACUGCUAGAGAUUUUCCUGCUUGCAAUGAUAGAUCAGAUCUUAAGAAAUUGUUAGCUAAGCUGAAGCAAAAGACUUUAAAUGCUAAAAUGAAACAUGACCCUGCUUUUGCCACUUCACCUAUCUUUGUUACUGAUAAGGAUUAUGAAUUCUCUGUUGAUCCUGAGAUUAUUACUUUAGUUGAAUCCGAUCCUUUCUAUGGCACUGAAUCUGAAACUAUUGUGGCACAUCUUACCAAGUUGAAUGAUAUAGCUACCCUAUUUACUCAUGAUGAUAAAUCUCGCUAUUUUAAUAUACUUAUGAUAUUUCCGUUCUUGUUAAAGGGUGAUGCUAAGACUUGGUACAAUUCUCUUGCUCCUGGUUGUGUGCAUAGUCCCCAAGAUAUGAUUUAUUACUUCUCUGCUAAAUAUUUCCCUGCUCAUAAGAAACAAGCUGCCUUGCUGGAAAUAUAUAAUUUUGUGCAAAUCAAAGAAGAGAGUCUCCCACAAGCUUGGGGGAAGCUUCUCCGGUUACUUAAUGCUUUGCCUGAUCAUCCUCUCAAGAAAAAUGAAAUAUUUGAUAUCUUUUAUAAUGGACUAACCGAUGCUUCCAAGGACUACUUGGAUAGUUGUGUUGGUUGUGUUUUCUGGGAAAGAACAGUCGACGAAGCUGAAUUACUAUUGAAUAAUAUGUUGACUAAUGAAAAUAAUUGGACUCUUCCUGAGCCAGUUCCUGAGGCAAUUCCUGAACCAAUUGAGCCAACUCCUGAGCCUAUUCCUAAACCCACUCCAAAGAAGAGAGGUGUUUUAUUUCUCAGUCCUGAAGAUAUGCAAGAGGCAAAGAAAUCAAUGAAAGAAAAAGGUAUUAAAGCUGAAGAUGUUAAGAAUUUACCUCCUAUUGAAGAAAUAUAUGGUCUAAAUAUACCUCCUGUUGAAGAACCACAUUGUCUUGAUAACCCGACACAGGUAGUAAAGGUAAAUUCUCUCUAUAGAUAUGAUAAAGUUGAAAUCCCCUCUACUAAAUUUCAUAGCCCAUGCUUAGAUGAAUUUGAUGACUUUAUGGCUAGACAAGAAAGUUUUAAUGCUUAUGUUGGUAUAGAGUUAAAGAAUAAUGCUUUCGAGAUAGGACGCGUGAGCGAUAAUAUGGCUAGAGUUAAAGGUGAACUUAAACUCAUUAGCAAAUAUGCGUCUAUGGUUGCUACUCAAGCUGAGCAAGUACUUGAAGCUCAAAAUGAUUUGCUUGAUGAAUUAAAUAAUAAAAAUGACUUUGCUGUUAGAGUGGCCUCUAGAACUGGUAGAAUGACUCAGGAACCUUUGUAUCCUGAAGGCCACCCUAAGAGAAUCGAGCAAGAUUCUCAGAGAAACAAUUUAGAGGCACCUAGUUCUUCUAAAAAGAAGAAAAAGAAAAACAAUAGAACUUUGCAUGCUUCUAGUGAACCUACUAUAGACACACCUGAGAAUCCCAAUAAUAUUUCUAUUUCUGAUGCUGAAACACAAUCAGGUGAUGAACAUGAACCUAGUGAUAAUGUUAAUGAUAAUGUUCAUGUUGAUGCUCAACCUAGCAAAAACAAUGAAGCAGAGAUUGAACAUGCUAUUUAUCUUGAUAACCCACAAUCAAAGAAUCAACAUUAUGAUAAGAGAGAUUUUGCUGCUAGAAAGCACGGUAGAGAAAGAGAACCAUGGGUUCAGAAACCCAUGGCCUUUCCUCCUAAACCAUCCAAGACAAAGGAUGAUGAGGAUUUUGAGCGCUUUGCUGAAAUGAUUAGACCUAUUUUCUUACCUAUGUGCUUAACUGAUAUGCUUAAAGUAAAUCCUUAUGCUAAGUACAUGAAGGAUAUCAUAACAAAUAAAAGAAAGAUACCGGAAGCUGAAAUUUCCACCAUGCUUGCUAAUUACACCUUUAAGGGUGGAAUACCAAAGAAACUUGGAGAUCCAGGGGUACCAACUAUACCAUGCUCCAUUAAAAGAAAUUAUGUUAGAACUGCUUUAUGUGAUCUUGGAGCUGGUGUUAGUGUUAUGCCUCUCUCUUUAUAUCGUAGAGUUGAAUUGAAUAAGUUGACACCUACUGAAAUAUCUUUGCAAAUGGCUGAUAAAUAAACUGCUAUACCUGUCGGUAUUUGUGAGGAUGUGCCUGUUGUGGUUGCAAAUGUCACUAUCUUAACGGACUUUGUUAUUCUUGAUAUUCCCGAGGACGAUAUUUUGUCGAUUAUCCUUGGUAGACCUUUUCUGAAUACUGCAGGGGCUGCUAUUGAUUGCAACAAAGGCAAUGUCACUUUUCAUCUUAAUGGUAAUGAGCAUACGGUACACUUUUCGAGGAAACAAUCUCAAGCUCAUAGUAUCAAUUCUAUUGGAAAAGUUCCAACUAUUAUUAUUGGAGGUUUUGAAUUUCCUCUCCCUACUGUCAAUAAAAAGUAUGAUAUUCUUAUUGUUGGGGAUUUUCAUAUCCCCGUUGAGGUAACUUAGUGUUAUUCGAAAUUUCUCCGGUUCCGUGUUAUUCGGAAUGAGUUUGUUAACAAGACUUGAUCAACCUUGUUAGUGGAUUCAUUUUGAUGAUCAUGAGAUGGAUGAAACUAGACGACACAACCUUCUGUACCCUCUUUUUGCUUUGUGUUAUUUAGAAUAAAUAAAUCAAAGAUAUUAUUAUCCGUCUGUUUUCUGAAUUAUCCGUGCAAUAAAAAAAAUAUCCCAAAAAUAAAAGUGCUCCAAAUGCCCUGCAAAUUUAGUAUGAUUUUUAUGGAAUAUUUGAGGAUUUUAGGCAAUGAAAUCACUGCAGGAGGGGAAAGCACCAGGCCACGAGAGUGGAGGGUGCGCCCCCUGUCUCGUGGGCCCCUAGUGGCCCCCUCCACUUAUGCCAGCACCCACACACUUCAUCUUCUACCCAAAAAAAUCCCCAUCCAGCUCAAGCACGAGUUCUAGCUUGUUUUGCUGCGAUUUUCGAUCUCCUUGCUCAAAUCUCCAUUCACAAAACUGCUUUGGGAGAUUGUUAUUUGGUAUGUGACUCCUCCAUUGGUCCAAAUAGUUUUUGUUCUAGUGCUUUAUUCAUUGCAAAUUCUUGCUGCAUUGGUGACCAUGUUCUUGAGCUUGCAUGUUAAAUUUAUGAGGCCCCAAGCAAUUCUAAUGCAUGAUAUAGGCUCUAGGCACUUGUAGGAGUAGUUGCUACCAAUCUUGUUUAGUUUUAUUCACUUUUAUUUUGAAGUUACUAAAUUUUCAGAAUUUUUUCAGAAAAAUAAUUAUGUCUAGGAGAAUAUACCAAGGUGGUUCCUCGGUAAAGAAAGGGCCUCGGAUUGCUAUACGUGAGCAAGAUGUUGAAUUGCCGAGGGACACGGAUGUACGAGCUUGUGAGUGGCCAUCCGAUGAUUUUAUGGUCAAAGCAGGCUUUAAGGAGGAAUUUGACGCAUAUGUGUGUAAUGCUGAGCUGGAGGACUCCUUACAAGAUAAGUGUCCUCAGUAGUAUCAAUUGACUAAUUCCUUUGUACGGAGGUUUAAAUAUAACUGUACGCGUAAUUCUCCUAGUGUCCUAUUUGAUAUUUAUGAUACAUCUUAUACCAUGGACUUAGAGGAUUUUACAACUGCUUGCAAACUUCCGCAGUGGGGUAAUAUUAAUGAUCCUCACAAAUCUGAAUUUAGAGAUUUCCUUGCUAGUAUUACUAUGGGGAAAUCCAGGUAUAUUGCACAAGCUACCAUAGGGAGCAUUCAUUUUCCUGCUAUACAUUAUUUUGCUCUCUUCAUUGGUAGAUGCAUUAACGGUAAAGACGAAGCAUGUCACAUGUGUGUCCCUGAUCUUUGUGUCCUCAAGAAUGUUGUGUUAGGAUAUAAAGGUUAUAACUUGGGGGCAAUAGUCACACGUAGGUUGCAGACUAAUAGUAGAAAGGGAGAUUUAGUUGGAGGAAUUUAUGCAACCCGUGUGGCUAAUUAUCUUGGUAAGCCCCACGAGAGGGAGAUAUGUUGAUACCUCCUAUUUAUUUGGAUUAUGAAGCUAUGAUUAAUCAUCAUUUUCUUAAGAGGAAUGAAAAUUUCCUCCAUUAUCGACUAAUCUAUAACAGACGCAAUGUCAUCCAUGUUAUUCUUCCUGCUCCUCUCCUUUUUGAUUAUCAGGCAAAAGGAAGAUAUGUUGUCACCAGGGAGGAAGCAGAUGAACACGAGGGGAGAGCGGAGGCAGCUCGCCAACAUGCCACAGCUCAGGAGGCGAUUGCUGCUGCAUCUCAGUACGACCCCAACUACAACUAUGGAUAUCAGCUAGGCGGUCCUUGGUACUAGACCAACUUAGGCCAAAAGCCUAAGCUUGGGGGAGUACGUAUUUCUCACCGACUUUACAUUCAUGUUCACACACUAGUCGUCGGUGCUCAUACUCUUUCAUUGUAUUAUCCAUGAUAGUUUAAAUUUCUUUUUCUAGUUUUCUUCUGUGUUUGAUAAACCUUAUGAAAAACCAAAAAAAAA